CAAUAACAAAGUGCUAUUUUUUUUUAUCACAAAGGAACGUCCAGUCGAAGUCAGUGAUUGGAGGAAGAAUGUGGAAGCAAUGUCUGGCAUGGAGGGCAGGAAGAAGAUGUUUGAUGCCGCUAAAUCCCCGACAGGACAAUAAAAAGGUAAGUACCUAACAUAAAUUGACCACAUAGUGUCACUCCUGCACAAGGUUACAAUCUGUCCAGUACAAUGUAUGCAUUUCAGUUGGUACUGAAUUUGGCAUCUUAUGAAUUGUAAUAAUAAAAACUCAUUUUAGUACACAUUGUAUUGUCCACCCCUCAAAAAUUAAGGCUAAUUCCCCCAACAAUGACUAGGGGUCCCCAAACCCUUAGCCAACCCACACAAUGAAAACAAAUCAUACCCACCCCGUCACUAUGAUAACAGUGAGGAGGGCCAAAUAAAUUCACAAAAAGGACACAUAUGAAUAAUAUAAAAGAGUAAAAGGUAAGUUUUUUAGUGCAUACACUUGGGUGAUGGAAGCAUCUAAACAACCCAAUCGGGAGUCUCUCUAUCCAGGUCCAGAAAAGGUGUGCUCAAUCAAAGAAGGGAGCAGCAACUUAGGAGAUUCUCAAAUGAUAAUAAAUAUGUAAAAGAGAUGGAGUGCCAAAAAUAGUGUAGUGUUUUUGGUAUAAAUGGGUCAGAAAUGGCGGAGCCUGGCCACUGAACAAGCAAGACGUGUGCUACAUGGGCUCCCGCGAGCGACACCCUACAAAAGACAGAACACCCAAGCCAAUACCUUGCCUGACCGCAGAGCACAACCAAGCCUAUUCCUGGCACACCGGUGAUGCUGGAGAUACCUCACAGGGGCUUUUCCGCCACUGAAAACUCUACCUCGUGGCUCUGCGGCCUACCAGCUAUCGGGCAGGGGAAAGGCGGCUGCUCUCCUACUGCUUUGCCUGGCAGUAAGACACUCAAACAAGGUAUCCCCCCACUAUGGACCAGCGGGGAUCAUCCCGGUCCCCACUGGCUAGCAAAGUGAACUCACGCUGACCCGAAAGACUGACUCCUGCCAUGUGGAGACUCCGGCUAAGGCACCCAAGAUGGUGGACAAGUUCCCUGAGCCGGGGCAAGUGCUGCAUGGGCAGAAGCUGAUACAGCCAAACUCCACUGACGACAUGCUGCAAUACAUAGACAGGACAUUUGAGAGAUUCUGGAAGCUAAAACGCUGCCUUCACAGCCCAAGCCGCAUCGAAGACUACGCAAUGGCGGAGACCUCGGAAACCCCGACCUCCUUGUGGGGAAAUUAUACCAGAACAAGCCUGACACUAACCCGCAGGAGCGAAGGGCCACGACGGCUGCUGCCGCGCAGCCCAGGCUACGGUGACUGCAACUAGGAACCUGCAUCAAGCGCAAGGCAACCCGAGCCCCUCGCAGCACUUGGACGAAGAUGGCACCGACCUCACCUGCGGCUCAAACCCACAGAACCCAGCGACAGACCCCCAAGCAGGCCGCAAAGAGCACAGAAGGUGCCCUGAUACACCUACCAUGUGCCACAAGACACAGAGACUCUCCUGCGCUACAGAGCAGAGGCAGGGAAUGCAGCUGCUGUACCCCACCGCAGCCCAGUGGGCACGUCACAGAUCCAGACUAUGUACAGCCACAGAUGGGCAUUGGUUAGCUACAAAUGCAGAAUCUGACUCGGCCAUAGGCCUCCCUACACGCUAGGCCAUACACAGCAGCACUAAGAUUAGCUAGUCUAAUUUGAUAUUUACAACACCUGGCUGAGCAGGCACCCAGGGCAAUUAUCAUGCUCCAUUGCUUUAUCUUGCUUUAUUUUGUCUUAUUUUGAAACCCACAUGGCAUAGAGCUACAGUUAGUAAUGUUGGGAGUCCCAUAUUCUCACUCUCAUACGCAUAUAAUUGAUGACGAGGACCAGUGGCAUUAAACCUCCAAUGUUAAUCCUAGCAUGUUAUACUAUGUUUGUCUUAAUUUUACUUAGCACCUACCUAACAUAUACCAUGCUCCAAGCAAUACCUUAUUUUUCUUUAAACUUGUACCCACUCAGAUCCAAAGUUAAGCUUGUUUUAUUAUGCCUAUUAAAAAGUGCAUUUUACUCAUUUGCCAUGACACAAUAUCUUGACGUAUGUUCCUAUUAUGCUUAUCGCUGCCGUCAUGACAUCUCAAGCCUGUAUGUCAAAUCACAAUAAAAAUAAAGAAUUUAACAUAAAUGGGUCAGCAAUAAAAAAGAAAUGCACUAAGAGUCUAUACGAACUAGGAGUAGCUUUAUUUUACAUGCCUGGGUGACACAAUCUCAGCAGGGUUAUUUUUAUUAUAGAUUGGACCCUAGGCAAGCAUUUGCUGGGCCUCCCAGGACUUACUAAAUUAAGGCUACUUCACCCAACAAUGACUAGCAUGCAUUCGUGCCCUCCACCAAAACACACAAAAAACAAACUCACACACAUAGAUUGUAGACUUAUAUUAGUGCUCCUCAACCUUUCCCACCCAAGGCACACAAAAGGAUGUUCCCAGAAUUCUGUGGCACACCACAAGCAAAGAUAUAUGACCACAUAGUCACCAUGCACCAGCACACUUUCCAAAAAGGCCACACUGCCCCCAAAUCACUUGCCACAGUGUCACACUGCCCACACAGCAGUUAUAUGUGUCAAAUUAACUCAUGUCAAUUUCCACAUUGCUCCACAGCACUUGGCACAAUGUCAAUUUAAUAACACACAAAACUUGCCUGUUGAUAGUGUCACUUUGCCCUGCAAAACAUGCCACAGUCAGUUUUCUGAUUAAAAAUAUACCACAGUCAAUUUGCACAUUAAACAUAUGCCAAGCCAGGUGCCCAUGAAAAAAUAUCAUGGUCAGUGUGCCUACUUAAAAAUAUCCCAGCAAUUGUUCCCAAAUAAUAUAUACCACAGUAAUUUUGCCCAAUAAUAAAUACAUCAGUUAGUCUGCCCAUUAAUAAAUAUCACGUUGACACACAGAGACACACACAUUGACAAAUACAGACAUGCAGUCACAAUGUGUUUUGGGCUGUUUAGAAUUCUGUGUAUGUGCCUGACUGUGAAUAUCCUUGUGUUUGAAUGUACAUCUCUGUGACCAUGUGUAUGUUUGAGUCUGGGACCGUAUGUGUCUGGGCUAACUGCUAGCAGUGUGUUGUGUGUAUGGGGAGCUGCCUGUGGCCUUUGUGCAUUGUGUUUAUGGUGAAGCUAUGUUUCAUGACUGUGUGUGUAUGAUGAUGCUCUUCAGAGGGUGACUGCAACAUAACCAUGGUAAGCUAGUGCUACAGGGCCAGAGGGGUGAAAGAAACAGGGUUGGGCUAUGAGUGUGAAAGUGAGUGUGACCGGGUUUGGGGAUGAAUGUGACAUGGAUGGAGUGUCAGAGUGUCGAGAGGAGGUAAGUGUGACAGGAUUAGGGGGUUCAUGUUACAGGGUGGUGUUGCAUGGUUGGGGGUGAAUGCAUCAUGGUUGGAGGGGGGAGUGUGACAGGGCAUGGGGAGGUGAGCAUGACAAGAUUAGCGGAGGUUUAUGUGACAGGGUGAGUGUGGCAUGGUUGAGGGGAUGAAUAUGACAGAAUUGGAGGAGUCAAUGCAAGAGAGUGAGUGUGGCAGGGUGAAAGGGGUGAGUGUGACAGAGUGAUGGAGGAUGAGUGUAACAGUGUGAGAAAGGUGAGUGUGACAGGAUUGUGGGUGAGUGAGGCAGAGUGAAGUUGGGCGCGUAUGGCAUUGUGAGUGUGACAGGUUUGGGACUGUUAAUGUGAUUGUGGCAUUGUGAAGAGGAGGGACUGUAUGUGAGGAAGGUUGAUAUUGUAGGGGGUUACAGUAUGUGUGUGGGGGUGGCAGAUACACAGACACACAUGUGCAUACACUGACAACACACAUGCAGAUACACACUGACACACAGACUCAAAAACACAGUCACUGACAAACAUACAGAUAAACAUUCAAACACACUGCCAUACAUGCAGGUUAACACAAUAUUACACAUACAUGGACACACAUACUGAUACGCAGACACAUACUAACACAUACAGAUGCACAGAUACACACUGACACACAUACUGAUACACAGACACACACUGACACAUACAGAUGCACAGAUACACAUGCAAUUACACAGGCACAGAAACCAAGAUUAUUAUUUUUUCCUUUAUGAUUAGAAACCGUCACUGCCAUAACACCCAUUCUUAUUUCUGGUUACCAGUUUUUCCACCCCGCCUUUAACUUUGUGCAAGAUGACAUGCCAUAUCAGAUUUAUUUAACCAAUCAUUGUUAACAGGAGUAGUCCCAGAAGAUUGGAAGUUAGCGAAUGUUGUGCCCAUUCACAAGAAAGGUAAUAGGGAGGAGUCGGGCAACUAUAGGCCAGUAAGCCUUACUUCAGUAGUGGGGAAAGUGAUGGAAACCAUGUUAAAGGAUAGGAUUGUUGAACAUCUAAAAACACAUGGAUUUCAAGAUCAGAGACAACAUGGGUUUACUUCAGGGAGAUCAUGCCAAACUAAUCUUAUUGAUUUUUUUGAUUGGGUAACUAAAAUUAUAGAUCAGGGUGGUGCAGUAGACAUUGCUUACCUAGAUUUCAGUAAGGCUUUUGACACUGUUGCACAUAGAAGGCUUAUCAAUAAACUGCAAUCUUUAAGUUUGGAUUCCAAUAUUGUUGAAUGGGUAAGGCAGUGGCUGAGUGACAGGCAACAGAGGGCUGUAGUCAAUGGAAUAUAUUCGAAGCUUGGACUUGUCACCAAUAGGGUACUUCAGGGAUCUGUACUUGGACCCAUUCUUUUUAAUAUUUUUAUUAGUGGUAUUGCAGAAGGUCUUGAUGGUAAGGUAUGUCUUUUUGCUGAUGAUUCUAAGAUAUGUAACAGGGUUGAUGUUCCAGGAGGGAAAAGCCAAAUGGCAAAUGAUUUAGGUAAACUAGAAAAAUGGUCAGAAUUGUGGAAACUGACAUUUAAUGUGGAUAAGUGCAAGAUAAUGCAUCUUGGACGUAAAAACCCAAGGGCAGAGUACAGAAUAUUUGAUAGAGUCCUAACCUCAACAUCUGAGGAAAGGGAUUUAGGGGUGAUUAUUUCUGAUGACUUAAAGGUAGGCAGACAAUGUAAUAGAGCAGCAGGAAAUGCUAGCAGAAUGCUUGGUUGUAUAGGAGAGGUAUUAGCAGUAGAAAGAGGGAAGUGAUCAUGCCAUUGUACAGAACACUGGUGAGACCUCACUUGGAGUAUUGUACACAGUACUGGAGACCGUAUCUUCAGAAGGAUAUUGAUACCUUAGAGAGGGUUCAGAGAAGGGCUACUAAACUGGUUCAUGGAUUGCGGGAUAAAACUUACCAGGAAAGGUUAAAGGAUCUUAACAUGUAUAGCUUGGAGGAAAGACGAGACAGGGGGGAUAUGAUAGAAACAUUUAAAUAUAUAAAGGGAAUCAACACAGUAAAGGAGGAGACUAUAUUUAAAAGAAGAAAAACUACCACAACAAGAGGACAUAGUCUUAAAUUAGAGGGACAAAGGUUUAAAAAUAAUAUCAGGAAGUAUUACUUUACUGAGAGGGUAGUGGAUGCAUUGAAUAGCCUUCCAGCUGAAGUGGUAGAGGUUAACACAGUAAAGGAGUUUAAGCAUUCGUGGGAUAGGCAUAAGGCUAUCCUAACUAUAAGAUAAGGCCAGGGACUAAUGAAAGUAUUUAGAAAAUUGGGCAGACUAAAUGGGCCGAAUGGUUCUUAUCUGCCGUCACAUUCUAUGUUUCUAUGUUUCUAUAUGUUAACAUCACUAUACUUAUGUAUUUGUUUGUUUUUUUCUACACAAUCUUUAGGGUUAUUUUUAGUGUUAAACCAUUAUUUGUAUCAAAUUAUUUUUAAAUAUUUUAUCUUAAUGUGUUUUUAAAUCGAUUUUAUUUUUUUACCCAAUGUCAAUGUAAAUACUCUUAUUAAUAAUAUAGUUAUAGAACACAUAUCCUGUUAUUUGCUGCAACCUAGAGCAAAACAAUACAAAUAGAUGCAUUUUUUCUGCUAAACUCCUCCUUUUCCCCCAUAUAUUGCCCUUCUCAAACAUGGCCAAAAAGACACUUCCGGGAUUCAAAACACACAAGAGACGCCCAUCCCGGAACAACACUAGUCUAUUCAGAUGAUAAAAUUAUACUAAGUGUCAAAAUAGACACAAAACUGCCUAAUUCAACUUACCUUUAUUCCCCUUGCAAGAAGGGAUACUUAUUACAUUAAUUGGAAUGCAAUGGUGCCAUUUUGGUUCCAUAUGCGUUCCAAGCUGGAAACACCAUACUGGUAGAACACCGCAUCACUUCUGGUAUGAUACAUGUGUUCCAGAAUGGUUACAGGAAAUCAACAAUCAACUGUCACGUAUUCAUCUGCUUAUAAAAAAGUGGUUAAUGGCAUUUACUGUCCACACAAGAAAAGUUGUGCCGAGCAGCAACCGAAUCCACAAAAGGGUUAAUGCUGAGCAGCAAUUAUGCAAAUGGGAACCUGGUAACUGUCUUUGGGGUCAAAGGCUGGUUACAGCCUAUCAGAUCUAGAGGAGGGGUAUUUAGGCCCAGUUCUCAUCCUGCUCAGUGCCCUGUCAUGGUUUCCCUUAUGGUUGUCCGAGAGCACGUUAUUGAUUCUGGAUAUUCUGGUUAUUUGACUUUGGCAUUGUUUUUGACUUCCCUGUUUUCUGGCAUCCCUGACUUCUGGCUUUUCCUUAUUGUUGUGUCUCUUUCUGUAUCCCUUGACCUCGGCUAUUCCUGACUAUUCUUUGGUACGUUAGACCGGCCAUUCUAAAGUCCGGUAUACGUUACCUCUCAGUCCUCUGUGUUACACAAUUCUACAUGCUGGAUCAUUCUGUAAUCCUGACAUCAACAAACCAGAAAGCAAUCUCCCUUUAUAGACUGCCUCUUUAAACAGAAUUUUAUGAGAACUUAACCACAGUUCUGAAGAAGCCUUUGAGAGGCGAAACGCGUAAAGUGGGACUCCUUAAAGCUAUUUUAUAUUGCUAUUAUUGUUUUUGUAUGGUUAAUAAAUAGUAUAUAUAUAGUAUAUAUAUGUGUGUAUAUAUAUAUAUAUAUAUAUAUAUAUAUAUAUACAUACACACAUACAUACAUGCAUACACAUGUACUGCAUUAUUAUUACUUUUUUUUUAUCUUUGAGGCCAAAUGUGUGUAAAUUUCUGUACAUAUAUUUUUGGGCAUGGUUUCUCCUUCCUUUUCCAUGUUGUGUAAAGAAAGUAUUUACAUAGCAGCAGUUCAAGAGACACAUUGGAAAUCGGCAGAUGACGCUCACUUUAACUCUGGUUAUUAUCCAGAGAGGAUACUUUCAUCAAUGGAACAUAAGUAGAGAGGGGUAGUGAUCUUUUUUUCAAAAGAGAUUAAAUAUGAGUUUAUAUCCAAGUCAUGUGACAAAGUGGGGAGAUGUGUUUUUGUGGUUUGUAGACUUAUUGACAACAUGUUUUCAAUCUUGAAUCUUUAUGACCCUAAUAGGAAACAAGUGCAUUUUGUAAACCAGGUGCUGGAUAAAAUCCAGAAUUUGAUUUGGGGUACAUUUAUAGCUUUGGGAGACUUUAACUAUGUUGUGGAUCUGGAUUUUGAUAGGUGUGGACCUAUAUCUAAACCAUGUAGUUAAAGUUCUGGCUUGAGAUUUUUCAAUCUAUGUUAGGGAAAAUUAAAACUCUACGAUACUUGGCGUACUCUUAGGCCAGAAGAUAGACUACACUUUUUUUUAAAUCAUCAUUCUUCAUAUUCAAGAUUUGAUUAGGUAUUGACAGAUCCAUACUCUAUUACACAGUGUAAAGACAUUCAAAUAAUUCCAAUUGCAUGGUUUGAUCAUCAUGCAGUUAUUUUAGUUAUGCAAGAUAAUUAUAACAGAAAUAUUAGCAUUUUUAAAAUUAAUGAUACCCUUUUAUUAAAAACAAAAAUGUAGAUAGUUUGUCAAAAUUAGGUGAUGUUUUUUUUUAAAGACAAUCUAACAGGGGAUGUAAGCUUACCAACUGCUUGGUGUGUGGUUUUAAAAGCGUGAUGCGGGGUUACCUAAUUAACCACUUAAGGACACAUGACAUGAUUCCCUUUUAUUCCAAAAGUUUGGUACUUAAGGGGUUAAGAUGGAUUCUCAGUUGGAAAAAAAAAAAGGGGGGGAGGGAAAACAUAGCAAGCCUUUAUGCAAAGCUGGCUGAUUUGACAAGUCUAAAUAAAAUAGCCUUAGAUGAAACUAAAUCUAAGGAAAUCUCUUUAAUAAUGAAGACCAUAAGAGAACAACUAAAUAUGAAAUCAGAUAGGAUAAUGGUUAAGAUGAAACAAAAGAGGUAUUACUUAUGCAACCUAUGUCAAACCAGAUUAAAAGGGAAAAUCAGAGAAACAGAAUUUUUAAGAUUAUAAACUGGUUGGAAAUCUGCAUAAGUCCAGCGGCUAUUGGAAAUGCAUUUAAGAGGUUUUAUACAACACUAAAAGAGCAGAAACUCCAGAUAUAGUGAAAUAUUUAAGAAAAGUAAAUCUAACCCGGAUCUCACAAGACCAAAAAGAGAUGCUAGAUUCCCAGAUGAAAAAAAGAUAGGGUCCGGACCAAGAAGGCCCCUGGACCGGAUGUAUACUCAAACUUGUUUUAUAAGAAACAAAAGUUCAUGUUAAUUCCCCACUUGACAAAUACAUUUAAUAUAAUUAAGGAAAGUAGGAAUUUUCCAGCCGAAAUGUUGAAAGCCGCAAUAGUCCCUAUUCCCAAACAGGAUAAGGACAAAACAAGGGUCCCUAAUUACCGGCCAAUUUCUCUAAUAAACAUUAAUACCAAAAUUAAAUCGUAUCUAAUGGCAGAAAGAAUGAAAGUCAUUAUUCCUUUUAUUAUUCAUCGCAAUCAGACAGGGUUUAUUAAAGAAGACAGGCGAGCGGGAAUACCCAUAAAGUUUUAGAUCUCAUUCGUUAUAUAACAACACACAAAAUUCCAUCAAUUAUUCUGGCCCUGGAUGCAGAAAAAGCCUUUGACCGAGUUGACUGGCGCUUCCUUGAGGAGAUUCUUAAAGCUUUGAAACUUCGGGAGUGGGUUAGUCGACUCGGUCAUGGCUUUAUAUACUAUUCCAACUGCUAAAAUAGUGGGUCAGGGUUUUAAUUCUGAUUGGUUCCAGAUUCGUCAUGGAACACGACGGGGUGCACGUUGGUACCAAUGCUUUAUAUUUUAUCUUUGGAAACCAUGGCAGCAAGAAUCAGGGCUUUGCAAAACAUCGAGGGAAUUAAAGUAGGCGAACGUAUAUGCAAAUUAAAUCUGUUUGCAGAUGACGUGUUACUGACUUUGACAAAUCCUGUAGCAUCUAUGGAAGCAAUUUUGAGGGAAGUGGAUGUUGAAUUCUAAAAUUAAUAUACAUAAGAACCAGGCAAUGCCGAUUGGAUUGGACUAUGCAACAAUGCACGAACUAACAAAUAUUUAUUUGUUAAAUUACACUCCCCUGUUUAAAGAUCUUAUAAAGCAGUCUAGUGAAUGGAAUAACACAAAUGUUGUCUUUUUUGGGCAAAAUUAACCUGGUUAAAGCCUAUAUUUUACCUAGAUGGAUUUAUUCCCUUAGAAUGAUUUCUAUUCCAGUACCCGAACACUUGGCUCCAACCAACUAAGGGCCUUUACAAAUGUGGGCAUUGCAAAGCAUGAGACUUCAUCACCCCCACUAAAACGGUAGGCAGUAACUAGACUCAUGUGGAGGUUACCAUCAACACAUUUGUAAAUUGCAGUUCUACAGAUGUUGUUUAUUUAAUCACAUAUAGGAGUGGCCUUCAAUACAUAGGCAAAACGUACCAGCAAUUUCGACAAACGAUUUUGCAAUAUGUAACUCAACCAAAAAUCCCAACACUGAUACUCUGGUGGCCAGACAUGUAAGGCUCAACCAUGAUAAUAACCCUAGAGUUUUGAAGUUCCAAGUUAUACAAAAGCUACAACAAAAUCAUUGGAAAGGCAAUAUAAACCUCCUAUUAUUAAAGACUGAACCACGUUGGAUCUACUCGUUCCAAACUUUUUUUCCCAAAAGGAAUGAACGAGGAGUUUAAUUUCACCCCGUUCAUCCACUCUUGAUUAUAUACAAUUCCCUACGGAAAGUUCUCCAUUUAUUUCCUGGAGAUCUGUGUCCUUUCCCACUUGAGUUUAGCAUGAUUCCUUAUUUGUCUAGUUUCCAUUAGGGUUGCUCUUACACUAUAACCACUUUGUGAUUACCAACCUCCCCACUAGAUGGUUGAACCAUAUCAGAACAUCCUGGAAUUUAUUUCCAGAUCUUUAUUAGCUUCAACAAUAUUUUAUAAUAGAUUUACCUACCCAUGAUUAGUAUACAGCUAUUUCUUAUUAAUUUGGUGCUCUAUAAUAAUUUGGGGAUUGAGAAGAAAGCUUACAAUAAGUUACAUAGCUUUACAAAUACUCUAAUGCUAAACAGAUGUUGCUUUAAACAAUAUUUUAUAAUAGGUACAUCUCCUCAUAAUUAGUAUACAGUCUUGACCUAUUAAUAUUGUGUUCUAUAAUCAUUUUAGAAUUGAAAAAUAAACAUUACUUUGUAGGUAUUUGUCUUUUGAUGUCUCACUGACAUUAACAUAAGUGGAGUUAUUUUUAUUGUGUUUUAGGAACUAACAAUACACUUGUUAUAAUAAUAUGCCUUAAAAUGGCAUUAUAGAUUUCUGACAAAGGAAACAAUUCCUGAACACAUAUAGGGUUAAUGCAUAACCUCGGUUUCUAAUAUCUCCCCUCUGGCAGUCCAUCAAAAGUUAUUUGGACGCUUCUAUUUGACUAAGCAACGAUAUCUGGCUAAGUCACACCAAGCAUACCAGUUUGGAGAACGAAAAAUUAGCGGGUAAUCGAGGAUUUAAAAGAGAGAAUACAGAAGAUAUUUUGAAGCUGACUGAGGAGGCUGUUUUUAAUCGGUGAAACGCGUUUUGGCUAAAAGUGGACCUAUAUUUAGACCACUUAAUACAAUUGUAUUGUUCUUAUAUGUUUUUGCAGUUUUUUAUUUUCUAGUAAACAGUUUAUAUAUACUUUUUAAAUAUUACUUUUCUCUGUAAAGAAUAAAUAUAGUUUUUAUAUUCAUCAAUCCAACUGUAUCCUGCACAAGUGAUUCCAGAGAGCGGCAGUGUCACCCCAUAAAUUGACACCCCAUAAAUACACUUAGAGCCAGUUAUCAAAAGGCUCUAAAUAAGGUGAGCACUUUGUAUUUUAUUCAUAUCGAUAAAAUCAGUAUCUAAGAUACUACACUUAGAUUUUAAUAUCUGUUUUUUUUCCUAUGAUGUGGAGAGGAACAUACGCACUUUUGCAUUGAGAGAGGGGUCGUGUGAUCUACCCAAAAAGACACAGAUGUCUGGAAGUUUAGAGCCUUACAACUGUAAAGGCUGUAAAAAAUUUGAGUUUAUUUAAACUUAUAACUCACAUAAUUCUUGGGACAUUUUUUCGAUAUACUACACUAUUAUUUGCAUUUCUUUUCUAUUUUCUUUAUAUGUACACGAAAAUACAAAGUGUGAUAUAGAGGGUAAGUGCCUUUAAGCACUCUAUACAAGAAUUCACUCAUUUUCAUAUCUAGAUAUAGCGCUGCACUCCUGAAAACUGAAGAUUCUAAGGUUUUUCUGUUGGUUCUAGUGAACUUUUUUAAACAACGCUUUUAUUAAACUAAAACAUGGGUUAUGAUCAAAAAGUGAUUGAUAUUAUGUGGAGAUUAUCGGAUUACACGGUAUACAAAGUAUAUUCAGGAUGCCAUGCAUCUUUUGUGUGGGGUAACUACCCCUGGCUAAGUAACAUGACUUCACUUUUGGAACAAUAAAACAUACACCAAAAGAAGAGACGAACUGAUCAUUUAUCCUGCCUAAGGAAUCAGUGAUAUAUAUGUAUUCGUAUCUAUACAUCUGUAGGGGUAAUUGUGACAGACCCGCUGUCCCUGAUUUUUAAACUUUGUUCAUUUAAAUUGUUCGUCUGAAAUAACUGUACUUUUAAUGUGCUAAUGGCCAUUUGUUUCACGAAUUUCCUACCGAACGUACGACCACCAAGACCAGGAGUGUGGCACCCAUUAACCUAAUUGACACCUCCAAAACCAUGAACACCCCAACGUUCUAAUUGAUCAACAGGGUGGUCGACAUUCGCCUGAGUGUUCGUUUGUACGAACACGUGACGCCGGCCAUCUUGGAAUAUGAAUCCGGUCAGCGGGAAUGUGUCGUUGAGUGUCUGGAACUAAAAUCGGACACAACACUUCUGAGACUUCCACCUAACUUUCAAACUCCUGAACCGAUUUGGGUGAAUUUUCAAUAUGUUGUUCCCCCAGAUCAGGGGAUGUAUAAUUUAGGUGUUUCAGGGGAUGUAUCAGGGGAUGUAUCAUGUAUAAUUUAUGUGGUUCCCAUAUGUUUUCGGGGUGUUUGAGAAAUUGGGUAAAAACUGUAUUUUUCGUUUGGAGAUAAUUGAGUUAAUACAGUAAUUAACUCAAUUAUCUCUCAAGCAGAGGCGAGGUCUUAGGUACAGUAACUGGGAGUGUUCAAAUGAAAACCUCUGUUUUGUUUGAAUUGUAAAUUUCAUGUCUGGUGUAAUACUGUAUAAAUACUGUAUAAAAGAAACCAAUCUGCCAUUAAACCUUCAGUUCUUACUUUACCCUUAAUCUAGAGUCUUGUCUCUUAUUGGAGGAAACUGCUAUACAGCUAUAACACUAGCUCUUCUAAGAGCUUCUCAACUUGGAUGACUGCUGAAUGCUGAGAAUACCGCUCACCAUCGGGAGAAGUACACUCUCUAGCGGUGGAAACCCCUCUACUCAUCGGGGUAACCGCUACAGUAAUGUCCCUGUAUCUUUCUAUCUGGUCUGUCAGUCGUGUGGCCACCUGUCCAUCUGCAUUCAGAAAAUGGAUCCAAGGACCCCAUGUGGUGACGUGUAGUGCAUAUUUGUGUGUCAAGGCAUAAUGGAUGUCUUCCAUUAAGCGGAUGGACUCGACUUUGUGAAUCCAUUCCCUAACUGUAGGGGCUCUUGGUUGUUUCCAGAGCAUUGGGAUAAGCGAGUUUGCCGCUGUCAACAAGUGUGUGAUCAACUAUUUUGUAGGUUUGGGGAUUGGUUUGGAGAAAUGGAAGAAGAGUACCAUUUUAGGCUUGGUGGGCAGGUUGAUAUUUGUUACCAAAUGGAUCAUUCGGAGUAUUUUAGACCAGUAUUCCGUGAUGAUCAGACAGUUCCACCAGAUAUGACCCGGCGUGCCCUUAGGGAGCUUGCAUUUCCAACAAGAUUCUGGGGCGUUAGGAAAAAUCUUAUGCAAUUUAGAUGGCGAUAGGUGCCACCUGGACAAACGUUUGAAAUUACCUUCUUGAGUGUGUGUAUUAUCACAGUCAAUAUGCGUCAGUUGAAGGUUCAGUUCAUAUUCCCAAGAACUUGUGUAUUUGGGUAGGGAGUGCGAGUUUUCGUAUAUAACAUUAGUUUAUACAUGGUAGAGAAGUGUUUUGUUUUUAUGUCACCGUUUGUUUUUAUGUUUUUUAUGUUUUUAUGUUUUUAAAACAUGGUUAGUUGUCUCCGUCCUCCGAGUAAAUCGGGAGUGGAGGAAAGAAAAUGUGCAACCUGGGAAUGUUGGUAUCGUUGUAGUGCCGUCUGAGACAUUCCAGCUUCCUUAGUGUUUGCGUGAUUAAUACCUUGAUUUUUUUUUAAGCACUGUGCAUACUGCUAGGUAGUGUGUGGCUUGGUAAGAUGUGAAUGAAGAUCGGCGGGUGCCUGGUGGGAAGUGUGGGUUGUGCGUGAUUGGAUACAGAGGGGACGGGUGUGGAGCUAUACUCUGUGAGUGUCUAAUCUUCGUCCAUAUUUUAAGUGUUAUAUAGUGGUAUAAUUAUGGGUUGGUGGGAAUGAAAGCUGCUUUCUCCAGUGUUGCCCAUUGUUUGCAAUUUGCCCAUUCAUAUAUUCUGGAGAGCAUGACCGUUUUAUAGUACAUUUCUAUAUCUGGCAGGCUCAGGCCACCUUGGUGCUUAUGUAUGGUGAGUAAUUUGAAUGGUAGCAUUGGAUGGUUGUGUGACCAAACAAAACAGGUGAAUUUUUUUUGAUUUCUGCGAAAAGAGUGUUUGGUAAGGUUACAGGAAUAGUAUGUAGGAGGUAUAAGAUUUUGGGCAGUACGUUCAUCUUUAAAAUGUUUAUGCGACAUAACCAGCCAAAUUUGAGCUUGUGCUGCGUUAGGUCCUGCAAAAAGUGUGUGACGAAGAGGUUGGAAAUUUAGGUCAUAGAGUUGGGAGGGGCAUGUAGGUAAGUGAAUCCCUACGUAUUUGACUGCUGUGUGUGACCAUAUAAAAUAAUUCUGGAGGGUGUCCUUCGUGGAGGCUGUAAUUACCAGCCAGAGAAUUUCACUUUUUGUGAAAUUGACCUUAAAAUUAGAGAAAUUAUUGUAAAGGGAGAUUUCUUCCAGAAUCUGUGGCAUGGAGAUUUGUUGGUUGUGUGAGGGUGAAUAGAAGGUCAUCGGCAAAAGCUGCUGUUUUGUAUUCAAUUCCUUGCACUUUGAUGCCAUGGAUAACUGGGUUGUCUCUGAUUCCUUGAAGGAAAGGAUCAGGACAAACUGUAAUGGUGAGGGAGGGUUUCAGACAACUGGCCAUUAAUCCUAAUGCGCGCUCGUGGCCUAGAAUAAAUGGAAUGCAGCCAUUGUGACCAAUUCGGCCAAAGCCCAUGGCCUUGAGGGUCGUGAAUAUCAGGUACCAGUCCACCCUGUCAAACACCUUUUCAGCAUCUAUUGAUAAGAGCAGGCUCUGAGAUUGGAAUUGUUAUGCCAUAUGCAUUAAAUUCAAUAAUUUUGUGGUAUUGUUUUUGGCCUCGCAUCCGGGCACGAAGCCUGUCUGGUCAGGGUGGACUAGUCCCUGCAGGAGAGGGCAUAGUCUGGUGGCCAGGAUUUUUGUGAAGAGUUUGAGAUGCGUAUUAAUUUGUGAAAUUGGGCGAUAACUCCCACACAUAGUGGCAUCUUUUCCUUGUUGGGGGAUAAAGGUAACGUGUGCCUCUAGUACAGAGUCUGGGAGGUUUGGGGAGGUAGUGAGCGAAUUGAAUGCGGUAACAAACGGUGUGGCCAGGAGUUCGGAGAAUGUUUUGUAAUAUUUGGCUGUAAAGCCAUCUGGGCCAGGGCUUUUACCUAACGGGGAGUGUUUGACUGCUAGCAGGAAUUCUUCCAGCUGUAUUGGUGAAUCUAGAUGUUGUAAUAGACUUUUAGGUAUUGUCUGUUUGAUGCAAGGGGCUUAGUCUUGUUCCAAUUCUGGAAUCGUUGGCGAGGCCAUGCGAAUGUUGUAGAGCAUGGUGUAAAACUUCUGUAACUCCUGCAGUAUGUCUGUGAUUUUAUGAGAUAUGUUCCCUGACACUGUUUUUAUCUUGGAGAUAAAUGUAGUCUGUCUAGCACCUUUAAGCCAGGAGACGUCCACACUUGCCCCCUCUGGAAUAAUAGGAAUAUUUAGUGAAUAACAUUUGGCAUUUUAUUUGGGCAUUCAUGAAUUGUUGCAGUUUAGAUCUCUUUUUAGUCAGUUGUUUGUAUGUUUCUAGGGUAAUGUUCUGUUUAUGUGUGUUUUCUAGAGACCUUAUGUCAAUUAAAAGGGUGUUAGCCUGUUCUGAGCAUUUCUUUUUGGGUUUGGAAGCUAUAGCUAUGAGACAUCCCCUUAUCACACAUUUAUGGGCCUCCCACACUACAGAUGUGAUGUCGCGUGUGUGGUAUUUUUGUCGCAGUAUUGCUGAACUGCUAAACGUUUGGAUGCAGACGCGCAUGCAUCAUUUAAUAGCAAAUCAUUUAACUUCCAUUGGAAAGAAUGGGGUGGAAGGUGGGGUAUUUGUACGGCAAGAGACAGGGGUGCAUGGUCAGACCAUGUAAUCCAGUGGGCUGUGUGGUGCGCCAAAUGUCAAACAAUCAUGUGUCUUCUAAGAGUGAAACUAACCUCCUCCUGGUGGUGGCCUGGUAUCUGGGCGCAUUGGACGUUGUAUCCAUACCUGCGUCUAAAGAAAUGUUGAAGUCGCCUCACAUAAGGAGAAUGUCUUCAGUAAAUUGCUCUAUUAAACAAAGAUAUUUUUUAAUUGCUCUCCCUUGUCUCCUAUUGGAUAGAUAGACAUUGACUAGGGUUACUAUAUGUUGUCCAACUUGACCUUUGACCAUUAGUAUUCUCCCCGCAUCAGUAGAUUUAUGUGCCUUCUAGACAAAUGGGACUCUAACUGCUAAUAAUAUGGCCACUCCGCAGGCCUUUGAAUUUGAAAGGUUGCAGAAAUACCCUAUUGGGUAAUGUUUAUCCUGCAGAGUGGAAGGGGCAUCUGCUCUAAAGUGGGUUUCUUGGAGGAAUGCUAUGUCUGCCUUUAAAAAGUGUGGAGUUCUGAUAAUACCUGUGAUUAUUUUUCUGGGAGGUUCAGUCCCCUUGUAUUCAGGGAAACCACAUGAAGGGUGGCCAUGUCUACCCCAGGUAGAUUUUAGUGUAAACUGGUUCCAAUUGGCUGCAAAUAUAAUCUGAUUAUAAGAAAAGAAACAAGAACUUAACUAUGUACAAAUUAGUAAAGGGUGAUUAUAACACUUGGUAGAUGUGAAGCGUGAUAUGAGAGUAUAGCAAGCGUCAACUGGCAGUGACAGCUACUUUCCCUAGCAACUUUGGGAAGUGUUGCUGGGGGGGGGGCUAUAUAGUGGCUGCAAGUCUGGAAUCAAUGUCCAGCUCUGACGACACAGUUGACACUAGGUUUGGCGUGUUACAAGUGGGUGGGGUGGGGGGUGUAUGGUGAAUACCAUUAAUAGUUGAAUAUGUAAGUUGUGGAUAAUAGCGAUAUCUGUCUUGAGAGAGGGGUGGGGGGAUCCUCUCCAAUAUCAUACAUUGUUUUUAGGUGAGCUGAGGUAGGAGUAUAAAUUGCCAGAGCCCUGAAUGUUGAGGCCAUCUCACUGACCCAUAGGUGAUUAGAGGUAGGAAGGAGGGGGGGAGGGGAGUGUGCUGUCUAGGCUUGUGGACUUAAGACCUCAGAUCUACCUUCUGCAUAGAGACAUUUCAUAACAUUGUGAAUUUGUCUGCACGAGAUGCACGUAGUAAGAAACAUUGCUUGUAUAAAGCCUGUGCAUAAACAUAACCCCUGGAGGUUGUUCAUGUUUGCAUGUUUGGUGGGCAUAGGCUACUGCUGGGUAUGGUCGUACCCAAUGCUUUAUAUCAAGUACCCUAUCUUUAUAUCAAGUACCCUAUCAGUGGGUAACCUAGUUACUCAUAACCCACAUAACAGGCAAUAUUGAAUCUAUGCAUCAGCAACAUUCACAGCACUAUUAUCUUACGUGCUCCCAAGAUCAGUAGCCAGUUAAGGAAGUAGGUGCAGUGAUUGAGGCUGUUAAGGUAACAGUUCAGGCUAGCUGGCCCACUUGGGUCUCAAUUAGGAGGCCUUUAAACUCAGUUUGAAGUGGGCCAAGCCACAGAUUUGAAGGGGUAGUCCUGUUUUGGGAAAUGAAAGCCUUGAGUCUGUGACCAAAGAGUGCUUCUGUCCUUAUGGUUCAAGCACCGGAGAUCAGUCCAGAAUCCUGAUCGACUCCAGUAAUGGAGAUUAAACUUUGUUUGGGAAGAGGUAUGUUGUUAGAGCCACCAUGCAGGGAGAUGGGUUAGCACUCAACAAGGGUUCAGGGCUUUAUCGGUGUUUGGGUGCGCUUUUAGGCGAAUUCAGGCCCAGUGAGGUUUCAGAUUAUUCAGAUUUGGGCCCUCCUCUUCUUGGCAGGGGUCUGCCAUCUAUGCCGUUGUUGAAGUGGCAAGGGAGGUACAGGUUGGCUAGUGCCGUACCAGUCUGGGACUUGAACAUCCGGCAACUCAAUGGCUUGUGUGAAUGCACGGAUGUCCUGGAUCGAGGCUAGGGAGUGUGUUCUGCCAUUGUGAGUGCGCUUUGCCUGCAAGGUUUGCCAGGAUAAAUCUGGGAAUAUUUUCGUUUCAAUGCUCUGUGUGCUAUAUCUAGCAUUAGUGGAGUGUCAGCUGGUCUGCCCAGAAUGCGAUUAAACAAGUAUAGACGUCAGGUCUUCCUAAUGCUGCUCAGGUAGCCCUUUUAUCCUCAGAUUGUUUUGGCGUCCCUGGUUGUCGAAGUCAUCUAGGUGUCUGUACAUAGCCGAUAUGUGUGAAGUGUGCGCGGUCACAGUUUCCUGUAAGUGUUUAUCAGGAUUACUGUAUGAUCCAGCACGUAGAACUGUAUAGCCUAGAUGACAAAUAAGUAACGUAUUACCGGUCCUUAGAAUGGCCGGAUUUAAUGUACAUAGAAUAGUCAAAAUACUAGCUGAGAUCAGGGAACACAGAAAGGGAUGCAAUGAUGAGGAAAGCCAGGAGUCAGGAUACCAGAAUACAGAGAAGUCAAUAAGGAAAGCCAAAAUAAAAAAACAGUAGAAAACUAUAAACAGGAACGCGCUCUCGGACAACCACAUGGGAAACCACGACAGGGCACUGAGUGGAGGUCAGACUAGGUUUUUAUAUCCAUCCUCCCUUUCCCAUUGGUCAGCCCGGUAUUUUGGCUCCAAAAUGUGCGUGUGCGGUGCGCGCGUCGGGUUAUUUCCGCCCGUGGAUGUGCAACGGCCAGUGCCAGACUGUAUGCUGUAACGGACCAUUUCAGCACACAAGGGGUUAAAACCGUUUAGGCGAUUGUCCCCUUUCAGAGAUGCAGGCACAGCUACUGUAGAACACCAAACUCCCGAACCGCAUGUAAGGGAAUGCUCCAAACUCCCGAACGGCAUACAAUAUAACACUCCAAACUCACGAACUGGAACCAUACGAAUCGCUGCUAGCAGACGAAUAGUUUCCCAAGCGGCUUACACUCCUAGCAAUCAGUCUCUAUCAGCAUUCAGUAAAUCCCCCCAAAGACGAGACAAGGCUCCGUAUUAAGGGUCAAGCAGUGGUCUGUUUAAUGAGGGCUACUUGCCCAGUAUUCAUGCAAGUCUCACACCUGGUGGACACUCCCCUAGGGGACCAAAUUGGAGACUGUGACAAAAGACAAACAAUCAGCAAAAUAGGACACACAGUCACAUUAUAUUCCCACAAUGCAUCAUGGCUUCCUCCCCUCUGCCCUGGAGAUAAUUGAGAAGUAAUUCAAUUAUCUCCCAGGACAAUGGCAAAUCGCCAUUAUGCACGCGGGGAUACUAAAAUAAGAAUUACUAUUAAAAUACACAUGUGACACAAGUUACAAUGAAUAUAUACAUUUAACAUAUCCCCAGAUAGCUCAGGUCUGAGUGCACAUUAUUAAGCGAAUGGCGCUCAGACCACACAAAUACAGUUUAAUCGCCAUGGAGCCAAAGUCUUCACAAAGUCAGUUCUCAUACGAAUGAGCUCCAUGGGAUUCCUAUCUGGGGUAUAGUGCAGUCAGGUACAACUACCGAAUACCGGGCCGUUCGUGCACUUCCACCGAACAAGAAGGGAGGUCGGCGGCUUCAGCGGUGUUCGCACCAAACUGUGUCCGUUUUUAGUUCCAUGAGUUAAGCGUCGAACACCGCUGUUCGUUCGCGUGUUUAAAAUGGCCGCGACCUCGUGUUCGGUAUACGAAUGGCGGCCACCCAGUAUUCGUCAAUUAAGCUGCGGUUAACCGCAGCUUCUGGGAGGCUAAUUGCCGGCACACUCCAGGUCCCAGGUGGUCUAGUCAUUCGUGCGGUUGUUCGGUAGAUUGAAUCUACCGGACACCGGGCAGAAAAGCAUGAAUAAGUCUUUUCUGCAGGGGAAACAAGGUCUUUUAACAUGGGGCCAUAAUCCAAAGGCAGCAGCCGAGCAACCAGGCUUCUCCAAUGCAAUGUGGCGAGAUUGCUCUCGUCACAUAUGCUGAGAGAGUCAGGACUGCAAGCUUCUGGCCGCUGAGCACCAGGUGAGGAAAAAGUGUCAGAUGGAUAUGUGACAUAACCCACCACCUGAAGACCGCCCACCGGGCGGGCAGGACUGGGCUUGAGAGGAAACUUGGCAUAAAAAGCGCAGAUUUUACGGCCUGCAUGUAGGUCAGGAGCCGAAACCCAAGAAUGAUCAGCAGGACCGUAACCUUUCCAAUCCACCAAGUACUGUAAAGUGCCCCGAGAAAACCUAGAAUCCACAAUAGAAGAUACCUCAUACUCUUCCUGACCAACCACCACUAUCAGAGGGGGAGGAACACAAGGAACAGUAUAUUUAUUGCAGACAAGAGAUUUGAUUAAGGACACAUGAAAAGUUUUGGGAACCCCUAAAGAUGCAGGAAGAUCCAGAGAGUGAGACACUGGAUUGAUCCUAUGAAGCACUUUAUAGGGACCAAGGAAUCUGGGGGCAAACUUCAUGCUAGGGACCUUAAGCAUGAUAUUGCGAGACGACAACCAAACCCGGUCACCCACUUGGUACACCGGGUUGGCACUCCUACGCUUAUCAGCAAAAUGUUUGAAGCGUUCAGCAGCAGCCCCCAGAGCAGUUUGAACCUUAACCCAGGUAUCCCGAAUGGAGGAAAGAAGCUCAUCCAGAGCAGGAAUGGCAGUAUCAGAAAAAAACGCAGGGAGAACCGUAGGAUACCUACCAUUAUUGACAAAAAAAUGUACUGUGCCCAGAGGAGUCAUGAACAGCAUUGUUUCUAGCGAACCCGGCCCACUGGAGUAGUUUGGACCAAUUGUCCUGUGUGCUAUUAACAAAACAAGCAAAUAAACUUCUAAUUACUGGUUAGCCCUCUGAGCUGUUCCAUUGGUCUGUGGAUGGUAGGAGGAGGAAAAGGAGAGAUCAAUCCCCAAUUGUUUACUGAACACCCUCCAGAACCUGGACACAAACUGAGAGCCCCUAUCAGACACAAUAUUGUGAGGGAUGCCAUGCAAACGGACAAUUUCACGUAUGAAAAUUAGGACCAAUUCUUGCGAAGAUGGCAACUUCUUGAGAGGAAUGAAUUGAGCCAUCUUAGAAAAUCGGUCUACAACCAUGAGUAUAGUAGUGAACCCAGCAGAGCUAUGAAGCUCAACAAUAAAGUCCAUGAACAAGUGGGACCAUGGAAUCUCAGGAACAGGAAGAGACUGCAACAGGCCACAAGGAAGUGCAUGAGUCACCUUAGAAACUGCACACAGAGAACAUGCCUGCACAUACUCUUUUACAUCUUUCCUGAGUGAAUCCCACCAAAAUUAUCUAGUGAUUGCGGCAGUGGACUUAUUGAUUCCCGGGUGUCCAGCAGUUACAUUGUCAUGGAACACUUUCAUGAUAUUAACCCUUUCACAUAGGGGAACUAACAGUUUAUCACACGGUUUACCACUGGGCACCUGAGGCUGGGCCUCCAGUAUGGUGCCAAGCAGUGGAGAAGAUAGUGAGAGGACAGUAGUAGCAAUAAUACAAUCUGGCGGAAUAAUAGGAGAGGUCACCUGUUCCGGAGCUGAUUCAUUAUCAAAUUGCCUGGUCAAGGCAUCAGCCUUGGUAUUUUUAGAACCAGGUCUAUAAGUAAUGAGGUAGUUAAAUAGUGAAAGUAACAGUGACCAUCUAGCCUGUCUGGAAGACAAAGUUUGACAUCCCCUAUAUAUGCCAGGUUUUUGUGGUUGGUUAUGAUCAACAAGGGGUCCUUGGAACUCUCCAAAAGAUGUCGCCAUUCCUUGAGGGCAAGAAUACUGGCCAACAGUUCUCUAUUGCCAAUAUCGUAGUUGUGCUCAGCAGGAGACAGCUUUCUGGAGAAGUAGCGACAAGAAUGCAAUGGUGUUCCCUGGCUUUCUCUCUGAGAGAGAACAGCCCCUACCCCUGUCUCGGAUGAAUCAACCUCCAAUAUAAAAGGUUUACUGGUGUUGGGAUGUUUUAGUAUGACCGCAGAGGCAAAUCUUUGUUUAAGAGUCUCAAAAGCAUUCACAGCCUCUUUGGACCAUACCGUGCUACUAACCCCUUUGCGAGUCAUAUUAGUGAUGGGGGCUAUUACAGAAGAAAAUCCCUUGAUGAAUCUUCUGUAAUAGUUGGCAAAACCAAUAAACCUUUGAAUGGCUUUUAAACCAGAGGGUAAUGGCCAGUGUAGUACAGCCUCUAGUUUUUUAGGAUCCAUUUGAAACCCAGAUGCAGAGAUGUUGUAACCCAAAAAGUGGACUGGUCAAAAAUGCACUUUUCUAAUUUACAAUAAAGUUUAUUUUUCAACAACGUCUGCAGAACAUGUUUUACAUGGGAGUGGUGAGUUUGAAGAUCAGGGGAAUACACCAAAAUAUCGUCCAAAUAAACCAAGACAAAUGAGUAAAUGAAUUCCAUUUAUAGUCUUGGAAUAAGGCCGGGGUGUUGCAUAACCCAAAUGGCAUUACCAGAUAUUCAUAGUGUCCACUACGGGUAUUAAAUUCCGUCUUCCACUCAUGAUUCUCUUUAAUUCUAACCAAAUUGUAAGCGCUCCUAAGGUCGAGCUUAGUAAAUACUUUAAGUCCCUGCAGUCUAUCGAAUAAUUUGGAAAUUAGUGGGAUAGGGUAUGCAUUUUUUACAGUGAUUUUAUUAAGUGCCCUGUAGUCUAUGCAAGGGCGUAACUCACCACCCUUUUUUGAAACAAAAAAGAAUCCUGCACCAGCUGGUGAGGAUGACUUUCUUAUGUGCUUUUUGCUCAAAGAUUCUUGGGGACAUACAGCAUAAACUUAGGAGGCAUAGUGCCUGGAAACAGAUUAAUGGCACAGUCAUAUGCUCUGUGGGGAGGCAAUACAUCGGAUUGAGCCUUGUUAAACACCUCCUGAAGUUCUCGGUAUUGUAUGGGAACUCCAGGAGUUUGGAGAGUGGUAGUGGGAAGGUCAAUAGUACCCAAUCUCUUUAUUACUGGUUUUAUACAUCUCCCCAUACACUUCUUACCCCAUUCCAAUAUUUCCCCAUUAGCCCAGUCAAUAUAGGGAUUGUGCUUACUCAGCCACGGAAACCCUAAUAUGAAAGGACAUGAUGGAGAAGUAAUAAUCUUUAGCGGCUAUUUCAUCUAGUAUAGUCUCAGAGAGACCCUUUUUGAAUGCUGAGAUUAACCCAUUGUUAGUCCAGUCGGAAUUCAAUAGUGUAGAAUAUUGCAUAUUCUAUGUUUCUAUUGAUUAUAUAUGGAUGUGUGGAUUGACAUAAGUAACAGAUGGUAUAAGUCACAAGGCUUUCUGUGUCCGAGAGCUCUGGAAUGUGGAUGUGGGGGUUUUGUCCUUAAAUGGCUAGAGUUAAAUGCUGACGUUAGUAUUAGCACAUCUUUAUAGUAACAGAGGGACACGAGGUCGCUCUGUCUUGAGUCUUGGCUCUGGCUCUCUCUCUCGAUGUAAAGAUGUAAGGAUUUAAAGAAGUCCAGCAAUUACCAUCUGCUGUUGAAUGUCCAUUAUCCUGUAACAUAAUUUAUUAUGUUUUAUUAUGUAUCAGUAACUAAGAAUAAACAUGAAGAAACCGUAAGUCAGAUUGCGUAUUAGUACUUUUCAAUAAUAUAGACAUAUAUUAUUGUGGCGAGCAUUUGGCCCAAGACUAUAUAUACAAAAGACGUAUAUAUAUAUCAAUCAACUGAAGACAAGAAGAAAUUAAGAGGAUUCUACGUUAACACCAAUCCAAGCUAAAUUUUACAAAUAGCAUAAUCCGAGAUAGACUGGUUACCUUGUCUGAUGUGCAUAAGGGCAGUGGAGGCGUCAUCCUCUCUACCCAAUGGCUCAAACGUGAGUUUGAAUUCAGCAAGGAAUUCCUGGUAAUUAUGAGCAAUGCUCCUGUAACGGACAAUUUCAGCACACAAGGGGUUAAAACCGUUUAGGCGAUCGUCCCCUUCCAGAGAUGCAGGCACAGCUACUGCAGAACACCAAUCCGCCGAACAGGAAACCAUACGAAUGCUGUAAACAGCCGAAUAGGAAAAACCAUACGAAUAGGUUUACACUCCUAGCAGUCGAACUGGAACAGCAUACAAUAAAUCCCCCCAAGAACGAGACAAAGCUCCGUGUUGAGGGUCAAGCAGUGAACAGUCAGAGCUGUGGGUUUAUUGUGCUUCUGUACACAUUCUUACACAUUAGUACCACCCACAGGGUUUUGGAACACAAUCAAUAAACACAUACAAUACACUCAAACACUCCCACACAAAUUCCUCCCCUCUGCUUGUGAUUCAAUUACCUUACACAAUGGGUAAUGUAAUUUAGCACAAGCAGAGAAAUACAAUUUUUCCACAUUAUUCAUAACUUGAAAAGUAUGCAUCACAGGGGCGUGGCCUGGACGAGAACGCGAGCGGUCGCAUGUUCUAAAAGCUCCGCGGCAGUAAAGGCCCUCACACGAUAAUUAGACCCAAACCGGACAAAAUAAACGGGCACCAGGCGCUACCGACCAUGUCCCACGCCAAGGCAAAGCGGGCGACCGAGAAACAGGACAAACUCCUGUUUUUCAACGCCAAACAAGGGCACACGCGGGGAGCGGCAACACAGGAAGACCUCCAAGAUGGCGCCGAAACGGAAGGAGCCCAAGGAAUGCUUACAGAGGCCUCGGGCCGCGUCCUCACUACGGAGGGGAUGCAGGCUAUGCUCGACGAUAUGGAGGCGAAACUGCAAACAACACUGCAACGCUCAUUCACAGACCUCCGUGCAGACAUCCACAAAUUGGGGUCACGCACCUCAGAUCUGGAGAAUCAGAUGGAGGCGCAAUCGGAGGCUCACAACCGCCUAUCUAAUAAGGUGGAGGAAGUAUGGGAUAAGAUGCAAGAAUAUGAGGCCAAAAUUGCGGACUUGGAAGACCGCGCACGCCGCAGUAACCUGAGACUGCGGAACGUGCCUGAAGACAUAGGCCCGCAAGAGCUGCAGGCGUACGCAACGGGGCUUUUCCACACACUUGUCCCUGAUCUGCCACAGAGUGUCCUGCUGUUGGAUCGCAUCCACAGAGUGGCCAAGCCCCAAUACCUACCUGCUGAUACGCCAAGAGAUAUCGUCUUGAAGAUGCAUUACUACCAUGCAAAGGAGGCGGUCUUGAGAGCGAGCCGCACACGAAAAGACAUACCUACUGAAUUCCAAAAGGUGGGAAUCUUCGCGGACAUCUCUGCUAUGACGCUGAGGAAGAGAAAGACUUUUGGCGCUAUCACAGUGGCUCUGCGAGACAGCAACAUCGCAUACAGGUGGGGAUAUCCAACCAAGUUGCUGGUCCAACGCAACGGCACCCUUACAGCCAUCACAUCCCCAGAGGAAGGUCUCCUGAAGCUGAGAGAAUGGGGCAUCACCCCGCGCCCAGAACCACAGAGGCCUGCAUCGCACGAGCGACACACCUCCACAUGGAAGCGGGUGCGAAAAUAGCCCUGGACGGGGAACAAAUACGAACUUUUCAAGUCGCCCGCAAGUAUACAGUAUGCUGCAUCACGCAAUGCAAAAUAGCCAUGUUAGGCAUAUUGUUUGAUUUUGGUGUGAUUUAAUGUUAGACUAUCCAAGCCAGACUAGGGGUAUGAUAACCAGGGAGCAAUUGAGGUCAGAUAGCCAGACAAAGUUAUAACCAGAUAUUUAAGGGUCAUGUGUAGACCUAAGCUAAGUCCGUACAGAGUUAGGGAUAACCUCUCCCAACGGUGUUAAUGCUAAGUUAAAAAAAAAAUAAAAAAAUAUAUCAAGUAUAACAAUACAAUAAUACCACACCCCCAAUAAUAAAAAAAUAAAAAAAAGUCUUACCAAGCCCCAAAGACCAAAUACGCCUAAUAAUGUAGAGCGAUGGCUCACUAAAGAGUGUUAGCUAAUAAGAAGACGGCAUAACAGUGCAAAUUGGGUCAAUCACCAUGUUAAAAGAAACAAGAGGGCCGCACUCGCGGCAGCACACCUCCCCCACGCAGGAUCGAAGCAUUACGCUCCGACCCCCAUGGCUCCCUAAAUGGGAACCUUGCCAUUAUUCUGGCAUUUUUGUUUAUGAUUGUAUAUAGGUUUGCAUUUUAUGUAAUAUUGAGUUCUGUUCUUGUUAUGUUUCCCUCCCUUAGCCCCCCUACAACCAAUUCGGGCCAAGUGGGUGGCCCGCACGUAUUACCUACCAUCUACACUGUAGCAUCACGAGCGCCUCUCCACUGGAUACAAAGCACCGAACAGACAUACCUACCAAAUACCCGCAGGGGUUAUCUUAGUGGGAUCUGCCCAGCUCGCCGUAGCUGGGGAGGGCAGAGCCCCAUCAUAGACCAAUACAUAUCAAACUCUCACAAUACCUUCCCAUACAAACCACCUUAAGCUUUACAGCCACAAUGUAAGGGGACUCAAUCUCCCGGUCCAACGACACCUUCUUAGCAGGGAUGUAGGUAAAGCGGAUGCGGACAUCGUGUGUUUACAGGAAACACAUUUCAGGGGCACGUCCCAUCCCAGCAUCCUGACCAACUCCUACCCUCACCAGUUCCACUCUACGUCCACGACCAAAUCCAAGGGAGUCACCACCCUGCUCAGUAAAAAAGUCGCUUUCACUCUGAUCACUGAGGACACCGACCCAGAAGGCAGAUACGUUAUAAUAGUGGGACACAUAAAUAAUAUACUAUAUACCAUAGUGAAUAUAUAUGCCCCAAACACCAACCAGAGGAAUUUCAUACACAGAAUGAUACACAAAAUCUCUCACAUCCAACAAGGCACUACAAUUAUAUGUGGGGACCUGAACCAUGUCCUAAACCCAGCUGUAGACACUACUCUCUCCCGAACCAGCCCGCGAUAUAAAUCACUUAAGCGCCAAAGCGCGGCCCUGACCAAAUUACUGUCAAUGCAUCACUACUAUGAUGCAUGGAGAGUCACGCACACAGAAGACAAAGAGUACACCCACCACUCGCAGGUUCAUAAUACAUACUCGAGAAUCGACGCGAUCCUAGUGGAGGGAACCACACUAGGGCAGGUAGUGGACUGUCGGGUGGGACAGAUAGUGUGGUCUGACCAUGCCCCUAUAGAACUAAUCUUGAGGGACACUUAUGACUUCAAACAUAGGAGCCCCUGGCGGCUUAACGAGACCCUCCUGACAGACAAAACCUUCUCGGGAACGCUAGCGGAGUCCCUACAAACUUAUUUUACAGACAAUGCCAACCCCGACUUACAACACCACACAAUUUGGCAAGCACAUAAGGCAGUUGCCCGUGGACUCCUUAUAAAACAAGCAUCAUACAUUAAAAGGAAGACACAGACACAAGUGACGAAGUGGCAGAAAGACAUUUACACACUGACGAUACAAAAUCAACUUCACCCCACACAACAGCUAAAAGAACAAAUAGCCCUAGUGCGCCAUCAACUUCGCCAACAUGCGCUAACUAAAGUAGGACACAACUUAUGGAAAUUGAAAGCCUCACACUACGCCCAGGGGAAUAGAGCGAGUAAACUACUGGCAGCAAGGUUAAAAAAGCGACAACAGUCACAGAAAAUAGCGUACCUACACACGAAAGCAGGGGGGAAAGCUAUGUCGCCGCUCACUAUUAACGAUGAGUUCGCACAAUACUAUGGGGACCUGUACAAUCUCAGCAACGAUGCAACCAUACCCACACCGACAACGGCAGAGAUAGAGACAUACCUAAACAAAAUCAACCUCCCGACUUUGACAGCCCAACAGAAAGACACCCUUACUCGACCAGUCACCCCUGAGGAGGUAGGGGACACCAUAAAGUCGCUACCAAGAGGCAAGGCCCCGGGCCCUGAUGGAUUUGCCAACUCUUACUAUAGCAAAUUUAGAGAUAUAUUGGCCCCAUGCCUAGCAGAAGUUUUCAAUGAGGCCGUGCGAACACAAACCCUACCGGAGGAAAUGCAGCUCGCCCACAUUAUCACUUUGCCCAAGCCUGGCAAACCCCCAAAUUAUCCACAAAAUUUUAGACCCAUAUCCCUCCUUAAUACUGACACUAAAUUACUGGCGAAACUGUUCGCUAUGAGGCUAAGCCCGAUAUUACCACACAUCAUACACGAUGACCAAGUGGGAUUUGUGACGGGGCGCCAGGGGGCAGACAACACCAGAAAAGUCCUCGACCUCAUGCAAAGCUUAGAGGCGAAACGGGAAGGGGGGGUUCUGCUUUCACUGGACGCAGAAAAAGCCUUUGACCGACUGGGGUGGGGAUUUCUGCAGGCGGCCCUGAGGAGGUACGGGAUGCCGGAGGGGUUUAUUUCAGUGGUCAGGGCAUUGUAUUCGGCACCAAGAGCCCAAGUACUUAACUCGGGUUUUGUGUCAAAAAAGAUAACCAUUACCAAUGGAACAAGACAGGGGUGCCCCCUGUCCCCCCUGCUAUAUGUACUGGCACUGGAGCCGCUGGCUGCAGUGAUCAGAGCCCACCCUGAUAUACAUGGGGUCCAAGUGGGGGACAGGGAGUACACCCUUAAUCUAUUCGCAGACGACAUACUCCUGACGUUGACGCAACCAAUAAUAUCCCUACCGAAUUUACUACAGUGCAUACGAGAAUAUAACAAAGUAUCCUACUACAAAUUAAACCUCACAAAAACACAAGCUAUGGGAAUCCAUCUGCCAGGACAUACUUUACAAACACUGACGAACUCCUUCACCUUUGACUGGAGGGAAGACUAUAUCACAUUCCUGGGGAUUAAGCUAGCCAAGACGAGCGGCCAAAUGUUUAAAUAUAAUUAUGAGAAACUCCUGCAGGAAAUCUCUCAGACGUUAGACCAAUGGAACAGUGACUUCCACUCGUGGCAUGGGCGCAUAGCGGCAUUUAAAAUGUCACUGUUGCCAAAAUUACAAUACCUAUUCCGCACGCUGCAAAUCCCUAUACCUAGGCAAUAUAUGGUCAAACUACAAAAAAUCAUCACGAGAUUCGUGUGUGCGAACAAAACACCCAGAGUGGCUUACUCUACAAUAAAAAGAACAACGGAGAGGGGGGGUAUGAGCUUCCCAGACGUCAAACUGUACUACAAGGCGGCCAUUCUAGCAGCGCUAGCCACGACACACAGGGCAGAUAACCCACCACAAUGGGUAGCCAUUGAAUCCCAAUGGACGUGUAGAGCAGGGAUGCACCACUUGUUUUGGGUGCCAAAACACCUAAGGCCAACAACACCGACCAUGCUAGAGACCACCAAACUAAUGCUGCAUACCUGGGACACAUAUAGAACGCACCUCAGUGGCCCAGGAACCACAUCGCUAGCAUCGACAAUGUAUAGUAUCCACCUGAGGAACAAAACAUUUGACUAUCGGACUUGGACGAAUGCAGGGUGUACACACAUACACGACUUAUACAAGGGUACAUCCCUAAAACAGUUCCCGGACCUACAAACACAGUACAACCUACCGAGUAAAGCAAUUUUCUCAUACUUGCAGCUCAAGUCCACCCUACGGCAACCCAAGACUCCACCUAUGACACCCAUGAUCUCAAACUUUGACACGUGGUGCCUCACGGGCAAGCCACACAGACGAAGCAUUUCAAAAAUAUAUAGCACAUUGCUUGAGGGCACUCACGCAUCCACAGACAACUUUAUACAGGCAUGGCACAAAGACCUUGGCAGCACCUUCACGGAGGCCCAAUGGUCCAGAGCCUUCACAAUCCACAAGGGCAACACAGCCUGCAUUACACACUUUGAACAAGUGAGAAAACUGCAAUACAGGUGGUAUUUGGUCCCCACACGGCUAGCACACAUGUUCCCGAACAUGUCUACUCAGUGCUGGAGAUGCCAGCUAGACACAGGCUCACUAAUACAUAUUUGGUGGACAUGUAAAGACGUGCAACCCUACUGGGCCAUGGUGAGCACCAUCGUGGACCAACUGCUUCCUGCAAAGAUGACCCUGACCCCGGCUACAUGCCUCUUAUACAUAUGGCCAGAAGGCCUGACCAAGGUCCACUCCAAACUCCUAUUCCACACGCUGAUAGCAGCAUGUAACCUAAUAGCAAAAAACUGGAAAUCACGGAACAUCCCCACAAAAACGGAGCUAGUUACCCAGAUCCAAAAGAAUUGGGAAUAUGAACGCAUGGCGGCCCAACAAUUGGGGACGGGAGUAGCAACUAUGGAGGCGGGGAAAAUUUGGGAACAAUACUGGAACAAGGUGAAGUCCCAAACAACUGGGGAUGAGUAAGAUUCUUUAGCCUCACCAACGCAAUCUGAGAGGGUAUACCCCGGGAAACAGUGGAAAGAGGCCGGUGAUGAGAGAUCAAACAGGUACAGCGAACCCUUCUCAAAAGAAACCAGGUAGAUGUACCACAUACAGACGAGACAAACAACCCACCAGUGUAUAUAUUUAAGCUAACUCCCCUCAUACCCCUCCCCCCCCGGGUGAGCACCUGGACCCCCCCCACUCCCCCCCCACCACCUCCUUCUGUCCAACUCAUUGACAUAGGCCACACGGUAAAAAGGCACGACAACGAGCGCAGGACAGGCUGGUAAACAUGUGGACACCUCCGGGCUGAGGUGCAUGGAUAGCGCCCCGCCGACACUGUUUAAACUAUCCAAACUACGGCUGUACUAAAUAAAGUGGGAUAUAAUGACCGUUGGAAAUACACACGGUACCAACUAACCCCACCCCAUCAUACCCCACAUUUGUUGUCUGUGAUUCCCAUCCCCACCUUUGCAACACUAAUGGUAUACUAGGUAACUUCAGCCAGACCGGCAUCUGGAGAUACAUGUUAAAGAGCCAAAACAAUAAGCUGGUUAUACAGAAAGGCCGGACAAGGUUGUAGUCAUGUUUAUAAAUACUAAUAACCUGUGUAAUGUAUAAAGUGAAAAUGUUGUAUAAAGUAUAAUGUCAUGAGUGGAACCUUUGUUAUUCCACCCUGCCCCAUUCAUCCCCCCCCCCCCUCAUUAUUUUUGUAUCCCUUCCCCCCCCCUUUUUCUAUAUGGAAAAUAAAAAUUGUCAAAUUGAAAAAAAAAGAAAAGUAUGCAUCACAUUCACAUAAAACUUACAUUUUCAGAAUCAGCAAAUACAAACAUACGUCAAAAUCAUACAAAUUGGUCCAGUGGUUCAAAAGAUAGAUCGUAGUCCUUUGUGACCACAGGAAGCAUGGCUUUUCUGCCCAAAACCAGUUCCAUGGAGUCUUCUAUCCUGGAGAUAAUUGUGAAGUAAUCCAAUUAUCUCCAAAGACAGAGGCAAAACUCCAUUGAACACAUGGCAGCAAAAAGACAGUAAAAUACAAACAAAAUACACAAGGUUACAUUUAUGACAUAAAAUACAGACAUGCAACAUAUGCCCAGAUAGCUUAGGUCUGAGCGCACAUUAUUACUGAAUGGCGCUCAGAGCACACACAUACAGUUCAAUUGCCAUGGAGCCAAAGUCUUUCCCAUAGUCUUUCAUUAUACGAAUGGGCUCCAUGGCAUAGCUAUCUGGGGUAUCACUGCUCAAACAGGGCAAGCACCAAAUGACCCGCUUUUCUUGUCUUUGCAGCGGAAAAUCAUGCCUUUUAACAUGGGGCCAUAAUCCAAAGGCAACAGGCGAGCAACCAGGCUUCUCCAAUGCAAUGUGGCGAGAUUGCUCUCGUCACAGCUCUGAUUACUCUCCCAUAACGGAUUAGCCCAGGCAAGGGCCUUGCCCUUUAAUUGAUUCAUUAGCUAACCAAUUUUUGCUCUGUCCGUGGGGAACAACCCUGGUGAGGCCUCAAAAUGGUACUCCACCUGAUUAAGAAAUCCCCUGCAUUCCUGGAUAUUGCCAUCAAAAUGUAGGGAUGGCGUUAAGGAGAUGCUGGGAGUCCUAUUAACAGUGGUUGGAGGUACACAGGUUUGAGGUGCUAUAGGAGGAGGCGAUGCAGGCUGCAGAUGCGCCGUUCUUUCGAGAAGCAUACUGAAAGCCUGAGCGAAUUGAUCCAUGCGGUGAUCAUUCUCCUCUAAUUUCCUCUCGCAAGCAGCUAUAUGCUGACACAGUUCUACAGGAUCUAUGGCCAUGUCGUAAUAUCAGGAUUACUGUAUGAUCCAGCACGUAGAACUGUAUAGCCUGGAUGACAAAUAAGUAACGUAUUACCGGUCCUUAGAAUGGCCGAAUUUAACGUACAUAGAAUAGUCAAAAUACUAGCCGAGGUCAGGGAACACAGAAAGGGACGCAACGAUGAGGAAAGCCAGGAGUCAGGAUACCAGAAUACAGAGAAGUCAAUAAGCAAAGCCAAAGUCAAAAACCAGUAGAAAACUAUAAGCAGGAACGCGCUCUCGGACAACCACAUGGGAAACCACGACAGGGCACUGAGUGGAGGUCAGACUAGGUUUUUAUAUCCAUCCUCCAUUUCCCAUUGGUCAGCCCGGUAUUUUGGCUCCAAAAUGUGCCUGUGAGGUGCGCGAGCACACCCGCGGUCACGUGCGUGAGCACGCUCGGGGUCACGUGCGCGCACGCUGGGUUAUUUCUGCCCGUGGAUAUGCAACGGCCGGUGCCAGACUAUAUGCUGAGACAGUCAGGACUGCAAGCUUCCAGCCGCUGAGCACCAGGUGAGGGAAAAGUGGCAGUGUUGUACUUGUGAGGUUAGUAUCAUCUUCCAAAACUUGGACCUUCUUGCCCACCUGCGGAUAUCAUUCCCCAAAAAUGUAAUUUUGGCUUGGAAGGAAACUUCCAAUCUGUCCAGCAUGGCCGCUAUAUCAGCCUUGGAGGGUAGGUUGCGAAUUACCUCUUUGAGGUCACUGUCUUCCAGGCAUAACAAUGCCUCCGAUCCCUCUGGGCUUGAUAUAUUUUUUAAAGCAUAUCCUCUUUGUUAAAAUGUUCUAAACUGUGUAUAUGUAUUCUGCACUAGUGUACUGAAGGUGGAUAAUUUGAGAGGGAGGGAACUUCAAAUAAUAUCCCUUGAUUCCUAGAAUCAAGGGAGCCCAGGAAACUCGCACACAGCGGUGGACACGGUGGCAGACCCCGAGAUCGGGAGCUUUUGGACCCUGAGGGGCUGAAUGAAGCUUCUGGGACUGUGGCCUACUCGAGAGGGGAGCAGGGUGGACGGACUCUGCCCUGUCUCUUUUCGCGGCUGCCACACACUGACUCCCUGAGAUGCCUGCCAGUCCCGUUCCCCCCCCCUGUGGUCCAGCAGGGGGUUAUGUCGGUCCCCCACUGCGGAGAGCUUGAGAGAAGUGGAGAACGAGAGGCACGGCACUCCUAAGUCCUACCUUCCAAGAUGGCGGCAGCGCAGAGCCCGCGCCAAUAUCCCCUGCCUCGUGAAACCCCAGAGGAGAAAAGCCGUGCAGCACUUAAACCUGCAAAACCAUAAAGCAAGCCCAGUGACUCUGAUUUAAGAUUCGAGAGUGGCAAAAGCAUUGGUGACUACGCAACAGGCGGAACGACACGUUAGCACCGUGCUGGGGAGUAGAAAACCCCUCCAGGGCAAAUCUUGCCUGCAAAGGCCUGCCCAUCCUGCAACCCAAGUGAAGCAGACCCCAAAAUCAUAAUGAGAGAAGGUGAAGUGAAAGAAGGAUUACCCGAAGUUGCUCAAACCCAGCAACCCAUGCGUCAGACGGCUAACUACCGUCCAAGAUACCACCGACCUAUGAAUCAAACAAGACCACUUCCACCAACUGGUGAGAUUGAAAACAAGGAAAACCAGUUUGAGUCAGUGGCCCCAGACCAGCAACAAAAUCGCUGAGGCUUCAGAAGACCAUACAACUACAGGCAUCGACCCAACCAACCAAGUGGUCCACCACAGGGGAAGAAGGAGUCAACCAAGUUGGCUGAAACCCCAAAAGAGAAGCCUUGCACAGUGGGUGAGAAAAGCAAUGCUGUGUAAUCUGAGUGACCUGAUCUUCCAUCAUGCAUAAUGUGAGCUGAGAAAGGAUGGACAUCAUGACAGUUGCCAAUUAAUUGGGAGAGAUGACAGAUACAUCUCCUAUGCUCCUCAGUUUGGAUUUCACAACAAAAGUACACUCAUAUUUUGUGUUCAUGCAUGCAUAUGUCAGGGGCAAAUUCAAAUGAUAGUUUAAAGAUGUUACUUACCUGAAGUCUGCUUCCUCUUAGGCGUUCUGUGUUUGUGUACUCUUACAAUGCUGUGCUUAUUUUGUGUGCAACGGUGUGAGAGACAUUGUCCAAUACAAUGUCUCUUACACAACACUACAUUUUUUUCUUACACAAUACUACAUUUUUUUAAUUUAUUUUUUUCUUACACAACACUACAUUUCUUUUAUUUAUUUUUUAGGUAACAGCAUUACAAUAUAUAGAGAAGCACAGAGGCUGUUGUAGGACAUUGGCAAAGCAAAUAGUCUCAACCAUAACAUAAAAUGUAAUUUGUAGUCCUGUUUAGUAAUCUCAAGCAACUGUUUCAAUUGGGGUAUUGCAGAAGGCAUAAAACAUAUAGACUAUUUAUCAGUCCUGAAGUAGGGGAGAUUAAAAAGGAGCAGUAAACACCAACUCCAAAGUGCCCUAGCAACCCGACACGAGCUUAUAUUUAAUAAAUACAUUUCUGCACUAAAACAGUAAGGAAAAGACCAUCUAAAUAAUGCUCUAAUACAAGGAAAAGUAACCAGACAAUACUUUGUGUUAUUUGUUUUUGCAUGCAAUGAAUUAAAAACUUACAGGAUCAAUGGUAGAGCUCAUAUGAGGAGACAUAUUCAUUUAAUUAAUUGCAUGCAAAAAGGUUAUGGAGAGUGAGCACUAUGGCGCCUAUGUUGUUUUUGUGGAUCGGGUGGAGUCACCUCCCAUCUGCUUUGUGUGUGCAGUUGGGGAGGGUGCGGUCGCCACAUCGGUGUUUUGUGACUGUUCAUUAUGUUUUGCGCCUGGGCACAUUGCUGCUGCUAUUUUCGGUGCAACUGGAUACACUAUGUAGUCAUUUGGCCAUUGUGUCUUGGUCUUUUGACUCCAGUUGUCACCAUGUAAUUCUUUUGUCUUUGGUGUUGUUUUGUCAAAUCCUGCACUCCCCCGUGUGGUGAUGCACACUGGCUGCAAGUGUCAUGGCAUGAUAUGAACAUAAAGAUUCCAAAGAAAUGAACAACACAGCAGCCAUCAAAAUGUAAAGUGUAUGUAGCAAACUCACCCCUUUAAGAGAGUUUGCCAUGAGCUUUUGGAGGGGCUUGUUGCCCACCUCCUGCCAUGUGACUAUGGCCCUGGAGAUAUUGCCCUUUAAAGACAGUAUUUGGGCAUAAUGGAUUUUUAUUAUGCGGCUACUGGCCCUUUAAGCACAGUGUAUGGACUUCUAUUAGACUGUGUAUAGGAAGGUGUACCCCUCCCCCCGUUUCCUGUCCCAUUGUUCUCCAGCAGGGCGUUGUCCCAGGCACACUGCCAGACUAGUUGGAACUGGUUUGGGCUGGAAGGCUGUGCUUCAGUGGGCCUAAAGGGAACUCCACCUAACUUUUUAACCCCCAUAACUCCCGAACCCCUGGUCCGAUCUGGGUGAUUUUUGAAUAUGUAUUUGGGGUACAUCUAGAACUUGGGGAAAAAUAUGUACAUUUUAAUUCUGUUAACAGAUAAGCAGAUGGGAGGAGAUGAGUGGGUUGUACCUUGUACUUUAUUGGUUAAUGUACUAAUUAUUGUGGGUGGCUCCCUUGCACGGGAGCAUUGCAUAAAAGCAGGGGUUGUGUACUUAAAAGUUAGUUCAGUUCUGCUCCUGAUACUGUGUGUUGUCCAGUUAUUGGGAAAGGUGAUGGGAUACUAUUCGAUUUUACUGCUGAUUGUGCUUGUUAUGCUGCUGGAUUAUUCUCUCACUGUGGGUACUGUGCCUGGGAUUAUUGCUUGUUCCUGAGCCACACCUGGGCUACCAGAGGAAAUAGUCUGUGAGAGACCAGCGUUACGUUACAGUGUAAUAACUAUAUUGCAUUGCAGUCAUGUCCAGUAAUAUGUCAACAUUGAUUCUUUGCAUUGUAAAAUAGCACAUGUAUACGAAAAAUAUCAGAAUUUUUGGAAAAACUAAAAAGUUAUUUCUUGCUACUGGAACAUGAGUCAGUCGCCCUUAAAGUAGAUUGUUAUAUGCGUUCUUUUUUUCCCCAUCAGUAAAUUUCACCAGAGGGAAAAAAAACUCCCCUUUUUGCUGUUGCAUAUCUGGUGACAUCAUGGUCCAAUUACCGACCCUGGUUCACAGAUACAAAAUUGUCAUGUUUGCUUUUUUCAUAAAUAUAAUCCACACAUGCUUUUGGGGAAAAAAAAAACAAUAGAUGUGAAAAAACAUAAACGCCUGAAACAAAAAAAAAAGAUUUGUAGGUAUACAGAAUAAAAACUGGGUGGACAAAUUGAGAAUGAGGGGUGGACAGAGUAUGGGUAUGGAUUUGGACAAAAUAUGCAGAGUGGCUGUUCUUUGAAACCCAGUGCUUCCUUUCACCUCUACACUAUACCAUGGAAGCUAUGGUAUUUGAAGUAUCAAGGGGGUGUUGCCAAUGCACAAAUCUGCUCUAGGUCCCAAAUAUACCUUUGCAUAAAAGCAUAAACGUCCCAGCUCUGUUGCAGAACAGUAUGCAUGAAAAAAAAUCAGAAAUGGGGCAUACUACCCCUUUCUUUGUCUAUAUCUGUAAAUAUUGACUCACACAGGUAUUUUCUUUUUUUUUAUUAUUAUUAUAAUUAGCCCUAAAACUUUCAUUGGUUAUUUAACUAUUUGGCUGCUAUCUCUAACUUUGAGUCUUUUCUUUAAAAAUUUAAUAUUUGGUCUGUUUUGGGACUGAAUUGCAGAAUCUGGACAUUCUUGAAUAAUGUGAACAAUGUCUUGUUUUGUAGUAGGACUUUAGUAAAUAAACCUAUGCAUGUGCUGUAGGCUUCAGGGGAGGUAUAAGUCCAAAGCAGCCCAAAUUAUAAAUUACACAUAUAUUUUGCAGUUUGUUAACAUGCACUGCUUCUUUCCCACUGUUUCUUUCUCACAUACACACUGUUUCUAUUUUAGAAAUCUGAGACUUCCAUUGAAUAUUAUUGGAUAAGCUUUCCAAAUGAUUUAAUAUUUUUGGAUAAACUUAAAAUUAUUUAAAUAUUUUGUAAAAUAUAAAAAAUUGGUCAUGUUUUUGAUAUUUUUAAUAUAUUAAUCUAUAUACAUGGUAUAUUUUUUCAGGGUUUAAUAUAUAUUUUAAAAGUUUAUCCAAAAAUAUUAAAUCAUUUCAAAAGCUUAAUCCGGCAAUAUUCCGUCGAGACCUGCAUCCUGUUUUUUCUUACACAACACUACAUUUUUUAAAUUUAUUUUUUAGGUAACAGCAUUACAAUAUAUAGGAGAAGCACAGAGGCUGUUGUAGGACAUUGGCAAAGCAAAUAGUUUCAACCAUAACAUAAAAUGUAAUUUGUAGUACUGUUUAGUAAUCUCAAGCAGAAGGCAUAAAACAUAUGGUGAUUACUGCUCCUUUUUAAUUUCCCCUACUUCAGGACUGAUAAAUAGUCUAACUCCAAAGUGCCCCAGCAACCCGACACGAGUUCCCAGAUGGACAAGCAAGUUAAUUAGCAGCCCACCCCUCAGUGUUUACCUGCUACCACCUUCCCCUAUAACCCCAUCUCACCUGGGCACCAAUGCUUUCAUCUUCUCUAUCUUUCAUAACCAUUGUUUUGUGAGCACCUCAAGGCAUCCUGCUGAGCAUUUUGUGGCUGUCCUAGAUUCCUGGAACAGUUUUACAGGGAAGGAGGCUAGGGAAGGAGUAGAGUGUGGCCAGGGGUCAUUUAGUUUGUUGUGGGUGGUGUAUAAGAGAGUCUAGCACCAGUUGUUCUUGUGAACUUACAGGCUCUGCCACAGUGUGGAUAAGUCCAGUGUUUAAAGUCUAUUUAGAGUGGCAUAUGGUUUCCAUCAGGGAACCAUUCAUCCUUACUCGUGCAUUGUAGAAAGUAUAUAUGGAGAUAAUCCAUGUCCAUAGCUUUGCUCUGUAUCCCAUUUUCAAACUCACCCAUUUUCCUUCUGCCGCACACUGUCAAUUAUGCAAGGGUCUAAUGUCAGGAAUAUCCAGUUCUGAUCAUAUGGUGGGAUGCAUAUGCUAAAGUUUAGGGUCAUUUAAUCUGCAGGCAACAAAACUGUUAUAAAAUAUAUUUAUUUUUUAAAACUAUUAAGUAGAUAUACACCACGGCAUGUUUUCUUUAGGGGCAUAUGAAAAAACUGCUUGCAAAACCUACAGACCUACUGUCUGCAGCCUUUGCAAACCAUUCCCUCUUCUCCAACACAUACUUUUAGUCUGCACAAGGCAAUACACCAAUCAGAGGCUUCUCACUGAGUAGCCUGUUCUGGAAAGCAAGCAUGCAAUUGUGGAUUUUAUGUCAAGACACAGAGGCUCAUAUUGCUUAACCAUUUCUUUACUGUCCACCAAUAGCAGCAAAGAAUACAAACAGUAAGAAAAAAUGGUAACCAUAGAGAUAAGCCACUCCCAUAUCAAGUCCCAGUAUAAUAGUCAGCACCUCCCCACAUAUUUCCUCUUUCUUUGCUGCUCCACACAAAGAUAAGUACAUUACAUAUUUACUCUUACCUACAUUUGAUUAAUUAUUGAUUAUUUAUUAUUACCCCCUUCUCCCUGUCUGUUUGGUGCCCUUUUGUGCCUGUUUCACCUUCUCUGUUCAGCUGCUUUCGUGUAUGAAUCAGCCCAUUCAGCUAAAUUCAUCACAAAUCCAUGCUGUUCAUUUGUUUUACCAGCAUAUAGCAUUGUUUGUCUGUUUGCCACGUUCAUCUCUUUUACACGAAUGGUUUCCUUCAUUCUUCUGUUUCCUAUAGUCUUACUAUUCGUUUAUUUCUUCCCACAAAUUCAUCCUUUUUUACCGAACGUUCAGUUUGUGAAUUUGACGAAUUCACAGGAUUUUUUGCAGCGAAUCUUGCGAAUUUGCGGCGGCCAUUUUCUGACAUCCUAUCCUUCUGGCUCUGUGCUACCUUGUGUCUCUUCCUGUCUGCUGGUCUGGACCCUGGUGAGCUUCCCUAUCUCUACCCUCUCUGGUGAAUAUCUAGUCUGGGGUGAUUAACUCCUACUAGCCUGUACUGUUUUAUUUUGUUUGAAUUAUUUGUUCAGUAAACCUUAUAAUUUGUUGGGGAAUCUCACAGAAUACUAUGCCCAAACUUAAGGUGCCUGCCUGCCCCCUUUCCCGUGGUGAGAUGGACAUACCCCAGGACUUGGGAAACCCAUCUUCCUGUUCUAAUUUCCCUUCAUCUGCAUUGGACCCUAUGUGUCUGCCUGAUGAGGCUCAGUCCCUGGCGCUACAGUCACUGACGCCAUUAUGGCUGCUAUGGGCUCUAUGUCUUCUGCCAUCUCCCAGACCAUCUCCCAGGUCUUACUCACGCACCCACUGGCUGCAGAAAGUUCGGUCACACUGAUGCUCAUAACGCAUCCUGUCUCAGACCUUGCAGAUGAAGCGCCUAAAAAGGCUACCAUCAAGUCCAGGCAUUUAAGUCCCUCUGCCUCCACAACCCAUAUGACAGAUGUACCCUUGACCACCCAUGAUAGCAUGCCCAUAUUACACGAAAGAGCCUUUCUACGCCAGGCAGAACGGGCGCGGCAGUGGAAAUGUGCUAGAGCACAACAUGAGAGUGACUCCGACUCAGAAAUCGGGUCUAGUGAGGAGGCUGAUGCUGGGUCCGUGUAUGACUCUGAUAAUGAGUCCCUUUUAUCCCUGCUCAAUCAUGGGUGGCUGUGAGUGGCUCUUGGAUUGACUCCCCAGCUACUGCGGGUGCCACCCUCAUGGAUCCAUCUGGGGAACCCAUGUUCGACCCGGAUGCUCUCAAUCAUCCGAGGUAGGCUGAAUGGCUCCCAGUGGACCAUGUGGCAAGAUACCUAGAGAAUUGGGUACGACGCCCCGUCAGUAAGGUGGCACAUAAUAAACUUAGGGCUGAAUGCGCACGGCCUUUGGUGCCUAGCAAAGUCUGUGCGAUCCUUAUAGUUGAUACCAAAAUGACCCAAUUCCUCUACAAGUUGGGAUGGAAUCCUUGCAAGGGUCUGAAUUCGGCACUAAAAUCAUGCCAAGACAAGCAUUUGUUUGACCUGGCUGAAGUCGCCAGAGCCAAGAACAGGCAAGUUGACCCAGAAGAACUCCGUGGCUGGGUGGCUGCAUAGUGGGCAGUGUUAACACCUCCCUGUCCAUAGAAUAGCGUAAAGCCAUUCUUUUUAAAAUUGAACCAAAGUUGGCCAACCUUGCCCUCACCAAGGUGUGCAAGGAUGCCUGUUAUUUGGGGACUCCUUCAUAAAGGACCUGGGGGGUUUUGUGGGAGCUUUUACAGCCCUGGACAAGGCCCAAUCCUCCAUGAAGAGGGUAUUUCAAGGUUGGGUAUCUACCAGGGCCAGCAGAUUCAUGGGACGUCUGUUCCAACUACCACUCCCGUGGAUCGGGACGAGGCUCCUACACCCAGAGAAUGCCCUACCAAGAGGCGAGAAACCAGUCCCCUUCUUCCCUUCUUGUGGAAGACCAUGGCAAUCCAGAGGCUUCAGAGGGAACUCCGGUUCCAUACGCCCUUACGGUAAGCUUGCAUCUACCUCAUGUUUUUUCCAAUGUUUGUGUAGGGGGCAGAUUCCGUCAUUUUUUCCACACUUGGUCAACCAUCACCUCAGAGGUUUGGGUUCUGACCACCGUUCGGGGUUUCCACAUAGAAUUGGUCGACACUCUGUUGUGUCACAUUCCCCCUCCUCACCCUAUUGCGCUCUACGUGCACGACAGCAUCCAGACAGACGCAGAAUUGUCGGCCCAUUCGCGAAAAAGGGGCGAUAGAACUAGCCCCCACGUACCAUGUAGGGGUACUCAGCAACAUUUUCCUGGUGGAAAAGAAGUCGGAUGCACCCAAUUCAAUUAAUCACUCUCCGUCCCCUCAACACCUUGGUGUGCUACUGCCACUUCAAGAUGGAGGGCAUCCACCUUCUGCGAGACUUACUCCUUCGCGAUGACUUGAUGGUGAAAUUGGAUCUGAAGGACACAUACUUGAUGGUCCCAGUAGCCGAGACGUCCAGAGACUUAUUACACUUCCUCUGGAAAGGCGACACCUGGCGCUUUACAUGCCUUCCCUUUGGACUCUCGUCGGCACCUUGGUGCUUCACGAAAUUGAUGCGCCCAGUCAUGGCUUGGUUGCGCAGUUGAGGAAUUGUCUACUUGGACGACAUCCUAAUCAUGGCACAGGAUCGUUCAGUCCUCCUGCGACACCUGCAAUGGACAAUGGACCUUCUCUCUCACCUGGGUUUCCUUCUCAACUGGGAGAAACCCUGCCUAUCUCCUUCGCGAUGCAUGGAGUUUCUCGGGUUCACCGUAGACUCCGUAAUGGAAUCCGGGAGCCUUCCUCCAUCCAAGAUUCGGACCAUGCGCAAGGAGUUACGCCGCGCUCUAGCGCACCCUCAGUUAUCGCUCUGUCAACUGGCACGGAUCAUUGGACUCCUGGCAUCUUCAAUCCAGGUAGUGUUCCCAGCCCCUCUCCAUUACUAUGCCCUCCAAACACCUGAAGAUUGCACACUUCCGCAGUGGAGCAUCCUAUGCGGACAUGAUCUCUCUGGACACAGAGACUUGAGACGAAUUGACCUCUCAGCUUGGAAUGGCAAAGCCAUCUUCGGUUCCCAACCGUAGUUCACAGUGGAUUCGGACGCAAGUCUCCCCGGGGGACAUUGGUCGGAAGACAAAUCCCGACUCCACAUCAAUGCUCUAGAACUCCUGGCUGGCUCCUUCACAAUCCAGAGUUUUGUGAACUGGACUGCCAGCGCAUGCAUCCAGCUGCGCAUGGACAAUGUCUCAGCGGUCAGGUAUGCCAACCACAUGGGCGGCACGCAGUCGGCGGCGAAGGACUUUUGGUCUUAUUGGUUGUCAAGGCAGAAUACCUCCCGGGACUCCACAACAUUCAUGCAGACUGGAGUUCACGCUAUCUGUUGGACAGCAGCGAUUGGAGAUUGGAUGUAGGGGCGGUCUCCGCUAUCUCGUCCCUCUGGGGUCCCUUUGCCAUUGACCUCUUGGCUUCCCAACUCAAUAUCCAAUUGCCACAGUUCUACAGCUGGCGCCCGGAUCUGGCCGUGGUUGCAGUGGACGCCUUCCUGCAAGACUGGACCGGCUUGCUCCCUUAUGCCUUCCCUCCGUUUGCCAUGACCCCUCAGGUCCUGCUCCAAGUUCGUCACCAAAUGGCCUACCUGAUUCUGCUGAUACCGCUCUGGGGGACUCAGUCAUGGUUCUCACAGCUCCUGGAGCUGGCAGUGGAUGUGCCCAGACUGCUGCCAUCCUACCCGGACCUCCUUCUGGACCCAUCAGGCCGACAUCACCCUCUCCUGCUGGAUGGGUCAUUGUCGCUUCUCUUUUGGAGGAUUUCCACGGUUCUUGGGAAGUCCAAGGGGUUUCGGACACAACUCGACGCAUUGGCUCCCGGGACUAGAUGAUCAUAUGGGACAGCUUGGAGAGCUUGGGCUGGCUGGUGCCUGGCUCGGAACAUGGAUCCUGUUUUGGCACCUGUAACUGCGAUCCUCCAAUUCCUCACUUCGUUAUUCGAGGCUGGUCGGGUCUAUCGCACGAUUAACUUGUACAGAUUGGCCAUUUUCUCCGCCCAUCAGGGUUUUGACGGCUGUCCCGCAGGCCAGCAUUCUUUGGUGUGCCGCUUGCUUCGGGGUUCGCGACUGUCACGCCCUCCUAGGCCUCGAUACUUGGCUACUUGGGACAUCUCCUGCGUUUUGUCACUCUUUACUUCCUGGCCCCCUAACUCGGACCUCUUCUUACGACAGUUGUCCGCAAAAUUGGUCACCCUUUUUUGCCUCAUUUCAUGCAAACGGGUUUCGGAUGUUCGUGCCUUGGAUUACAACGCUAGGUUUUUCACUCCGGACGGGGUGACAUUUAACAUCUCCAGAUGCACUAAGACGUAUAUUUGGUCGGCUUCAUAUCCGUGUUUUCCAGUUACCCUGGCAUUGUGUCCAAUGACCUGUUUGCAGAAAUAUGAACUUUGGACGAGUGCACAUCGUUUGGUUUCGUCCCCUCAGCUUUUCCUCUUGGUUUGUCAACCUUUUUCCUGCGUCCAGUGCUACCUUGGCUCGCUGGGUGAAAUGGGUGAUGUCGCUGGCUGGUGUGGAUACAUCCAUCUUUAGCGCCCAUUCCUCCCAGGGGGCUUCAGCCACGUCUAUGGUGGUUUCAGGGGCGCAUCUGGAAGACCUUAUGAGGAUGGCGGACUGGUCCUGCAAAUCCAUUUUUCCCCAAAUUUUACUUUAGACCAGCCUCUCGCCCUAUUUCUUCUGUUAUUGAUCAGCUUUAAACUUGCAAUAUGAGCCUCCAUGUUUUCACAUAAAUUUACACGAUUUUGCUAUUUCAUGAUGAAAAGUCUUGAUUUUAUAAAAGACAAUGAGGCGAGUAUUGUCCCACCCUUCUAUUUUUAUUUCACUUCAUUCUCCCUCCCUGUUGAUUUGCUCUCUCAUGUGGUUUUCCAAGGGGUGGUAGGUAUUUGUGAUGCGCUCUGUGUUUAUUUUACCAAUUAUGCUUAUAUGACCUGCCUAUGCUGUAUGUUUUGUCUGGUGGGUUUGUCUUGCGAUAUGGGCACUGUGUUGAUUUAGUUUAUCAAUAUGUUAUGUCUUGGCAUGCGCACUUUGGUUCAAGUACUGAUUUAACUGUUGGGCUUCUGUUUUUAUGUUUUCACAGGUUGAUUCUGUACUGUUUGGGGGUCCUCGCUAUUUCCCACAAGGCUUCAACCCAUUGGCUGGAAGUCUAUCGAUUGUUCUGUGAUGGGCUCCUCACUGUUGGCGAUUCUAUUCUUUGAUGGAUUGGUACCAGUUCAUUUUUGGUUCCUGAUUGGAGUCCGGCUGGAUUUCGGGACGCUUGUUCUGCUGUGGUUGGACUGAUUCAUUGGUUCCUGUUUUGUUGUUAUUUGUGUUGCAUCUCCAAAGAAAGAGGAAAUAUGUGGGGAGGUGCUGACUAUUAUACUGAGACUUGAUAUGGGAGUGGCUUAUCUCUUUGUUACCAUUUUUUCUUACUGUUUGUAUGCUAUUGGUGGACAGUAAAGAAAGGGUUAAGCCUCUGUGUCUUUCGUAAAAUUAUGACUUUUCAUCAUGAAAUAACAAAAUCAUGUAAUUUCCUAUGCUAUACCAUGAGAUGUAAUAUAGCUCAUGGAUGUCAGGACAGGAAGGGGUGCUGUCCUGAGACAGCAAUAUCCCUUUAAAUGUGGGAACCCAAUUUGCAGAGAAUAAAUGACAAGACACAAUGAAUGAGAGUAAAUAAUAAGUAUAUAUAUUAUGAAAACAAAAAGAAAAAGAAAUAUCAAAGUAUAUACAAAUAUAUAAUGCCAAAAACAAGUAUAUACAAUAAUUUAGGAUUAGCACGAAUGGUGUAGGCAGAGCAUAAGGAACAGUCUUUUGGUAUAUGAAAUACUCUUGGGCAGGACCGGGCAGCCACCACGAACAACAGACAGUACAUAGGUCCAAAGCCAGUGUCAUAAGGAAGCAAGGCCCGAACCAGGAUACACAAUCAAAGGAAGCAGGGUCAGGGUCACUGGAUGCUAAACCAGAGGACAGGAACACAGAACCAGAGAACACAGGAACACAGGACCAGAUGACACGGGAACACAGGACCAGAGGACGCUGGAACACAAGACCAAGUAACGCAGGAUACAGGACCAAAGAGUGCAUGGUCAGAAUCACAGGAACCAGGAAAGAAUGAUCUGAACAAGAGGGGAGGGUGAAACCAAACUAAAGGUGCUAAACAAGGACCAGCUGAAGUGCUAAAUGAAAAGAAAUGAGGAAUAGUGCCAAACCGUGAGAGUGGUGAGUAUAGGUACUGCACGAAGGCAUAUCUACUAAGGAGUGAACCGUGACAAUGGAUAAUUGGGAAAGCAAGCACACUCUAGGUAGAGCCUCUGCUGUUUAGAAGUGAAAGAAAACCUCCAUGGAUGUCUAAUUGACAGAUCGGUAUUUACAACUUUAGAGUGUUCUUGUUCCAUUUUAGAUUGUUGGGCCUCCCUAAAUUAGAUGAAUAAUGAUACUAACACACUCCCCUCCACUUUCCAAAAAUGAACACCCAUUUCUUGUGUGAGAACUUGUGGAAUAUCAGAAUUACUUCUCUUAUUGGCUGUACAGCAAAAAAAAAAUGAUUUUAAAAUAAUGUUACAGUUGGCCAAAAUGAAAUUUAACACAACUUAAAGCCCAAAUUCCAUUACGUUAGUGAGGUUAUAAUGAUGUGGCUGACCAUGAAGCACUAUCCAAAGGUCAGCCAUACUACAUAGGUUUGUGAAAAUACAGUCUUUGUGUUUGCAAAAAUCAGUCAACCAAAUGACACACAGUUGCAGGCCCGGACUGGCCAUCGGGCAUACCGGGCAAAUGCCCGGUGGGCCGCGAUGGCCGUGGGGCCGAGGCCGGCAGGGGAUCUCCCCGGCCGGCCCCUGCAGGGCCAGCGCUAUCCGAGCGCCGGCCCUGCUAUGUGCCUCCGUGGGCCGGUGGGGAGAUCAAAGAUCUCCCUCACCGGCCCACAGACAGUGAGAUGCGGCCGCGCCGGAUGGUGAGGGAGGGAGGGAGGACCCGGCGGAGCUCCAACAAGCAGCUCCGCCGGUCCUCUCGCGGGAUUCUGAGCGUUGCCGCGGCAACGCUCAGAUCUCGCGAGAGUGAACUCUAACCCGCAGGUUAAAGUUCACUCUCACCACUGGACCACCAGGGAAGGCAGCAUGGCUCCCAACCCCCCAGGGAGAACUGAUCUUCUCCCUCCCCCCCCUCCCAGGAUAAAGGUAAGAAGGGAGGGGGGGGGAUAUAAUUUUUUUUUUUUUUUUAUUAGUAAAAAAAAUAUUUAAAUUUAAAUAAAAAAAUACAUUCACACACACAGCACCCAUACACACACCCAGCACACCCCCAGACACACACAGCACCCAGACACAGCACCCCAGACACACACAGCACCCAGACACAGCACCCCCAGACACACACAGCACCCCCAGACACAGCACCCCCCAGACACAGCACCCCCAGACACAGCACCCCCAGACACACACACUGCAGACACACACAGCGCAGACACAGCACCCAGACAGCACCCCCAGACACACACUGCACCCAGACACACACAGCACCCAGACACAGCACCCCAGACACACACACAGCACCCAGACACAGCACCCCCAGACACACACACAGCACCCCAGACACACACAGCACCCCCAGACACACACUGCACCCAGACACAGCACCCCCAGACACACACACAGCAUCCAGACACAGCACCCCCAGACACACACAGCACCCCCAGACACACACAGAGCACCCAGACACACACAGCGCACCCAGACACACACACAGCACCCAGACACACACAGCACCCCCAGACAUACACACAGCACCCAGACACACACAGCGCACCCAGACACACACAGCGCACCCAGACAGAACCCAGACACUCACAGCACCCAGACAGACACAGCGCCCCCGAGACAGACACAGCACCCCCCAAACACACAGCACCCAGACACACACAGCACCCUCACUCACACACAGCACACACAUAUAUAUAUAUAUAAAAUAACCCUCAGUGAGUUAACAGACAAAGAAAAUUAGAAACCUAGAAUGUGACAGCAGAUAAAAACACCCUCACACACAGCACCCCUCUUACAUACACACACUGCGCCCCUCACACAUACAAUAAGUCAAAAUAUAUAUAUAUAUAUAUAUAUAUAUAUAUAUAUACAUACAUACACACACACACACACACACACUACAGCACCCCUCACCCUGCACCACUACACACGCUCCAGAUACACAUUAGAUCCCUUACCCUAUAUGCACUCUUAAUCCUCUACACACACACACUGGGUCCUUUACACAGUAGAUCUCCUACACACACACACUACAUUCCUUGUCAGCAAACACAUACAACAUUCUCUAAACACACCCUCUCUGCAACCCCUACACACACUACGUCACCUAUACACACACACUUCAGCCCGUAUGCACACACUCGCUGCAUCCCCUAUAAAACUAUGCCCCCUAUACACACACUCUCUACAGCCCCUAGCCACACAUAUUACACCACAAACACAAAUUAAAUUGACCUAUUUAUACCAUACCACACCACUCUCUACACACAUGCAAUCCCACAAGCAGGCUCCAAACAUAUGCACCAUGCACUUUCCUGGCCCUUUUGUCCUCUGGUAUCUCACUUGUGGAAACACCAGAGACAAUUUAAAAGCAAACACAGCACAAGCAUGUUAUUAAAUUUGCUUGCGCUGCGCAGAACAAAUUCAGGGUCUUUUUCUAAUGCCAGAGCUCUUCAGCAGGGCUCUGGGCAUUGAACCAGCAUGCUCACUUUGAGAGGGGGCGUGUUGUCAUUAGUGAUGACAAAACACACACUCUCUGGCCCCGCCCCUUUCUUAGGGGGCCGCUCUGAUUGAAAAAUGCCCGGGCCUAAUUUUUUUCCCAGUCCGGCCCUGCACAGUUGUGAAGACUCUGCAAUGUCCCUCAUACAUAGCCACAGCUCACAUGACAGGGAUACAUCAUAUUAAAAAAAACACACCAACGAGACUACACCCUCGAGAGCCUUUUAUGUCUGCACUGCUAUGCUAAUGUGUCACUAGUGAUAUAAUUGGACAUUAAAAGGCAAUAUUUGUACUCUCUUUAUCAAGCCGCUAGGGGUGCCAAACAUAAAUACAGCUGCAUAAAUAUCCAGCAUACAGAAAUAUAUAAAACAAUCUACUGCAUAAGAGUAUGCGUGAAAAAAAAAAAUAGAAACCAUUAGCUACAUACAUAUACAUACAGAUGCUGUGCUAAUAUGCAGGUUGAAAUAGAGAUAUAGAUUUAUAUACAUAAAAGUUAAAUAUAUUUUUUUUCUUUCAGAUGCCAAGGAAUUCCCGAUAUUCACACUGCUACCUGCUUUGAUUCAUCAUAAAUCUUUUGCUCUUUUGUUCAAUGUUUCCAUCAACUAUGAAUUCAUCAAAUAAAUAUCAAUCACAAGCAAAUUCAAAAUGUGUUUUGAAAAUUUGUAGGUGGCUGCCUGUUAAUAACUCUUUCACUGUUAUUCUUUAACUGUGUUUCUUUGUUUAUUUGUUGUUGUU